UAGAAAUAAUAAACGCAUUAAUUAACACUAUAAGUGAAAAACUAAUAAUUUUAUCUUUAAUGAAAUUACAUUUUUUAGUGUCAAUCAUAUCCCCCAACCAGCUUAUUGCUAAGUCCUAACAAUUUAAGUGAUAAAAAUCUAGUAAAUUUCAAACCCAAAUUGAAAUCUCUUUUAUUUUUUGAAAAUUGUGUAUACUUCUUUAAUCAAAUUAAUGACAACAAUCAAAUAAAAGUAUAAGUAUUAUCUUCGGCCUAAAGAAAAUCACACCUACCUAAAUCAUGUUAGCCUAUAUGGCUAUAAAUAUUGAUUUUGAUGAUAACAAACCACAUGUAUUUAUUAAGUAAAGAUUUAUGAAUUGUGCUUUUAUAAUAAGAAAAUGAUGUUAUGCAAUUAAAGUAUUUUGGACUAAAAUGAAAGUAAUUUCAAAAUCUUUGAUAGUGUUUUAAAUUUCAGAUUUAGACCUAUUUGAAACUAUUUAAAUAUUUUUGGGUCAUUCUAUAAUUUCACCAGUUUAGGCGAAAUCAUAAUUUCAGAAAGUUUGGGAUUAACGAAGAAUUAUUUAGAAAUUCUGAAAUUGGACUUAUUUGCAAAGUUUUAUAACGUUUUGGGCCAUCCUACAGUUUUAUAAAGUUUUAGGGUCAAACUGAAAAUUUGGGAAAAAUUUCACUGUAGCAGGUUACUGUAGCAAGCGGAUAUCCGGAUUCUGAAAAUCGAAAAUCCGGAUAUGGGCAGCAAGCGUCCAGAAAGAAAAAGGUUUACCGGAUUCCGAAUCCGGCAAGCCGGUUAGGCAAAAUUUUGAAUUUUACCUUAACAGUAACAUAAAUCCGGCUUACCGGAUUCCAUAAACGGCAAAUCGAAUACGCCUGGAAUGUGAGUAACGGCUAGUUUUUGAGCUCAAACUAUAAGAACUCAAAUCCAACUCAUUUUGAAGCUCUCCAACAAGCAAAAACAAAAAGCACACAUGAUAUCUUGAGCUUACAACUUGCAAGACACAAAACAUUGAAUCAUCCAUUGUUCUUCAUCUUUGAAUAUCUACUCAUUGAGUGAGUUUGAUUGUAACUUUCAUUUCUUCAAUUCAUUUGUAAGAGUUUGAGUGUGUGAGACACUUGAGUGAAGAGAUUGGGAGAUAAUCUCUUUGUUGUAAAGGUUUAUUGACACCUCAAAGUCAAUUGUAAUCGGUUGAAGCCUCGGAAAGGCUUGGAUAGUGAAAUCCUCAAGCUUGGAUUGCUUGGAGGCGUGGACGUAGGCGGGGAUUGUCGAACCACGUAAAAAUUUGUGUGUUUGUUUCUCUUCUCCCUUACUCUUUAAUUAUCGUGCCUUUAUUAAACUUAUUGCUUUCAAUUUUUAUUAAGGCAUUAGAUUGCUUGUUGUGUGGAUUUGCUAGGUUAAUUUUUAAAUUUCCAAUUCACCCCUCCUCUUGGGUUGCACACUUAUAUUUCAAAUCAGACAAGUAAAAUCAUGCAAAAUGAUCAAUUAUAAGAGCUACAUUAAUCAAGCAACUUUUAAGAAUGAUAUGUCAAACCCUAAAUCAGAGUAACUAUCUCAAAAAAAAAAAAACCCAAUAAAACAGUCACUCUAAUAAGUGAUAGAUUGAGAGGAUAGUAAAACAAUAUCACACACUAUCAUCAAGAUGAAAGAAUAAUACCCAUAACUUAGAAAUAAAAUGAUCUCAAGCGUAGGGAAUUACUAGCCAAACCAAUUUGUUUUCAUUUUUAUGUAUCACCGCAUCUGUUAAUCCAUAUUACUGGCUUCUACUUCAAACUAUAGUUCCCCAAAAAUAAGAAUGACUUUCACUAGGAUGUAACAUAGGUUAGGGACAUGGCUAACAAAGAAGGGAUAAUAGGAAAAACAAAAUAUAUGUUUGAAAAAUAAAGGACUUUUAGAGAUUGCAAGGUGCUUUUCACUUGGAAUUUUUUUCUUUUUUUUCUCUUUUUUCAUAUUCUUAUUUUUAUUUCAUUUUAUUUAUUUUUUAUUUUAUUUUUUUAUAGUACCAUUUUCACGAAAUCCAUAAUCAUCCCUGUUUUCAAACAAAUUGGGUGGUGGAAAACAUAAUAUAUAAGGUGAUAUUCCACAUUGAGGUGGGACAAGGUAAUAGGUUACCAAAGAAAAAUAUUUGCUUUUUAAUAUAUAGGCUCAAAAGAGUUAAUUAUGGAUACUUUAUAAUAGAGAUGGCUAAAAAUGCUCAAACAGAUCAAAGAUGACCUUUCUACUAUCUUUUAGGGCUCUAAAUAAUUUUUCAUAUCCAUUAGUUCAAUGGACUUUCAGAUGAAACUGGACAAUUUUUUUUUCAUUCCAUUCAUUUUUUUCACUUUUUUUGGGUUUCACUUUAAAGAAAAUACAAAGAUCUUGUAUAAUUAAUUGUGAAGCAAUAUAGGCAAACAAGGUUACUCUCUAAGGAUAAUAGACUCAAAAAUUCACUUAAAUUUACUAUGACAUUUACAUUUCUUCAAAUGGCCUAAUCAGUUUCAUUCAUCAAAUUCCACAAUUUUACAAUCCAACAUGCAAAGUGGAAAACAUAGUGUAACAUAACUCAAGAUUAAAGAUAAUACAAAUACCAAAAUUUGGAAGUCAUCAUGUUAUCUAAUAUUAAAAUAUCACACAAAAAACAAAACUUUUUUUGGUUUUUUUUAAAGUCAAAGAAAACAUAACAAAAGAAGAAGUUGAAGCGAUCUGUUGUGUAUUCAGUGAAUCAAAUCAAAGAGGAUGAAACGACAGAGUUAGCUUGCGUUUUGUGAUACUCGAUAACUUCAGUAAAACGACACUUAAAGACUGCGUUUUAUGAAGUAAAUGUUUUGCUUGCUACAACGACAUACAGUCUUGCCGUUUUGAAGUUAAUAGAACACGAGCAGAACACGUGCAUACAAAAGGUUGUUAAAGGGCCGUUAUUGCACAUGGUCCUCACGUGCGUUUCUGGGAAGCCUCUGAGGUGGUUUAUAAGCUGUGAUGCUCAGCUGGAAACGGGGUGUGUGUUGGUUGAGAGAGAGAGCAUUGUAACGAGAGAAAGAAAGCUUGAGACUGAGAGUUUUCUUGUUCCUGUUGAGUGCUUGUUAAUCUCUGUAAUCAAGUCUUGAAGUCAUAUCAAUGAAGCUGUUAAGUUUGUUCCCCCGUGGAUGUAAGUCAGUGCAAAUUGACUGAACCACGUUACAUAGUUGUGUUCUGUGAUUUCUUGAUUUCAAUUCGUUUCUUUGUUUGUUUCUAAACACAAUCCUAGUCUUAGUAAUAGGUCAUUAAUCCAUUAAGCUUUCUGGUUGUCUUUGGGAGGCAUCUUGAUUGAUUCUAAUCCAAGAUCCUUUGGGAAGUGUUCUGUAAAGCUUCUGUUUUCAGCUUAUCAGAAUCUUCACGAUCACAUCUGAAUUGAUUGCCAAAAGUUUAAAAGGGAUGAUUAAGAAAAAAAAGUUAGAAAAUAGAUUCUUUUUUUAAAAACAAACAAAACUCUAAGACUAAGAAGAUGUGGUUUUAGAGUCACUAUACUAUAUAUUCAGCCAUUUUCGACUCAAAGUUAGUAUUUACAAUAAAAAUUAGUAAAAACAUAACCAGGACUGUGACAUUCCAUAACUGUCAACUAUUCCUUCCCUUUAAACCUAAAUGAGACAUUGUCCUUAAUGUCUUAGAAGAAAUAAGUAGAAUUUAGAAGACAUUACCUGACCACUGCUAGAAAAUAUUUACAAACAAAGAGUUAAAUCUAAUUUACACUUCUUACGAAGGUUACUACCAUUAUCAUCAGUUGACCAAUCCAACGCCAAAGUCAUGGGAUCUAGCUUUAGCUUGUAAGCUUGCAAAAGAUCAAGUAACUCGCUAGCAAUAAGAGCACAAAUAAAGAGUUUUUCCAUUGAGGAUGGAUGGAAAUAAUUCUUUUGCAUGAUUAAGAAAUGUUAUUAAGCCAUCAUAAAAGUUAUUUACAUUUAAUAAACUGAUGGGUUUUUUAUGGAUAUUCAAAUAAGUUCAAGAAGCAAAUGUAAUUAGCGCCUCUAAAGUUACAAUAUCUCCCAACAAGAAAAUGAAGGCAUCAGCAAGAUUUAAAAUUUUGAAUAUUCUUUUUUGCAUACUUAAGACAAUUAAUUAUUCUUCAAUUGGUGGGCCAGGCGAACAUCCCAAAGUUUUUAAGGCUUUUGGAAUGAUGUCAAACAGUUGGCUUCCUUGAACAAAACCAGCUUCUUAGACAAGUUUUAAUAGCGCUCGGUCACCUCCUCCAUAUGUAAGAUGUAGUUUUCUCUCUAUUAUAACAUAACCAAGAUCUACGGCUACUUGAACGAACUCGUUAUACUUUUUAUAGCGAAACCCAGAAAUCACACAAAUGUUCUUAAGUUGUCUGUUCGAAGUUUCUGCCAUUGGAACAAUUCUUAAAAAAAAAUUGUGAGUGCUUGAAAAGGAGAACAUACUUAAACACUACAAGAAAACAGGCAAUAGAUGACGGGAAAUAACCGUCAUAAAGAAAGGUGCAUGACAAACAAUAUAUUUCAUCUAUGUCACUAUCAUUAAUUUAUGAUAGCAUUUUUCCCGUCAUGAGUUUAUGAUGGCUGUUAAAAGUCAUACAUACGUCACACUACAUUUUAGUGGGAAAUCAAAAUUAUUUAAAUAUUUAGGAAUUUUUUGGCCAGAAAAUUAGUAUUAUUUCAAUUAAAUUAUGUAAAAAUAUUAUUAUUGUAAAUUUUAUUAUUAUUUUUACUAAAUUAAUAUUAAAUUUAUUUAUUAUUACUAUUUUAAAAAUUCUAUAAAUUUGUUUUUAUAAAUGAAGUUGGUCAAUAUAAAAUAAAUACAUAAUAUAAUACUAGUAAUUAAAAAUCCAAUAAAUAAAAUACAUGAAAUUUUAUAUAUAUUCAAACUACAGUUAAAUACAAACUAUGUCACUAAAGCAUCUAAACUACAUCAAUCCCAAAUUUUCAAAAGAUAUCCUAAAAUAAAGAAAAAAUAUCCACCGUCCACCUGUUUUUUCCAACUUUUUUAAAAAUACACAAUUCUUUUUUUUUUUUGCUGAAAUCCACCUAAAAUUACAUUUUGUUUCACUAUUCCACUUCCUUUGAAAUCCGUUAAGAAAACUAACGGAAACGUAAAAAAAUGAUAAUUUUACCCCCAAAACGAAAAUUACAAUUUCACUUUAAAAAAUGCCAAAAAUAAUCAGAUUUAAUGAUAAUUUUACUUUCUUUAUUAACCGAUGGGGAAAAUAUUUAGAUUUAAUUUGAUUAUUUUUGGCAAUUUUUAGGGUGAAAUUGUUAUUUUCGUUUUGGGGGGUAAAAUGGUCAUUUUAUUAAGUUUUUGUUAGUUUUCUUAACGAAUUCCAAACAGAAGUGGAAAAGUGAAACAAAAUGUAACUUUAAGUGGAUUUCAGCCAAAAAAAAAAAAACAAUUGUGUAUUUUUGAAAACGUUGGAAAAAACGGGUGGACGUUGGAUAUUUUCCCUAAAAUAAAUAAUCACCAACAUCAAAAUACUUGUACAAAAAAUCAAAGUCCACCAAAUUCCAGUGGUAAAUCACUUGUAGAGUCUAAGUAGCAAGAGACCAGCAAUUCUUCCCAGUUCCUUCGAUCACCACCACUAUUUUUGUCUGCCCUUCAGAUUAUUGUUGUUGCCUCUCCAUUCGCUUAGCAUGCCCUUAAUUGUAGUAUCUACAAAUCCCUUAUAUGCAUACAUGGAUUAUAGCAACAUGUAGAAAACAAUGUUUAACAAGCAUUUUACUAUUCUCUAAGGGGGAAAAAACAUUUUACUAUUUACCGAUCAAAGAACCUACAACAAGUAGAAUAGGCUUAAAAACUAAGAAUCAACAUAAACAUCUUUCGCUAAUACUCACAUAAAUAUUUAUAUAACCUUAAGCAUCCAGGAACCAAAAGCAAUUUACAUGUUGCACUUAUCAAAUGUACAGUAGAAUAGAGAAAAGGAGAAUAAUUGCAAGCAUAACAAAAAAGGAAAAAGAACAAAAGUGAUGAUUUCAGUUAGAGAAAGAAUUGUCCUCAUUGUAGUUUACUUCCUUGUCAGCCAAUACACAUCAGUAAAGGAAACUCAUAUUUUGAUGCCAUAAUAAAGACAAAAAUCAACUAAAAAGCUAUUUGUAUUACAUAUUUUGUUGGAUAAUAAGAACAUAAGGUUGAUAACAAAUUUAAGACUCUAAUGGAAAAGAAACUAUCAUCAAAUUCUCUAAUUUUCCUCUGCGGAAAAGGGGCAUAAUAGGAUUGAUCCAUUUACAAUUCCAAUCAUAUUCAUAGAUUUUAGUUACCAACUAUCUUUGUGACUUAAAAUAGUCUGCAAAAUACCAUUAAGAAUACCUAGAAAAGAAUUAACAAUUUUGAAACUAACAUCAUACUUAAUGUCAAGAGCCUUGCAGUCAUAUUCCUCACAAAAGUAAUACAGGUAUGGAGUUAUUUGCACAAAGCAAACUUGUGCAAUGGUAAUCCUCAUAAGCCUGAGAAAUGGGUAUAUCACUACAACAUCAAGAACAUAUCUAGUUUCUAUGCAUUAAAGUUUCUCGCCAAACAGAGACAUAAAAACAUGGAAGAUUGCAUCUCAUCUGAAUCAUACUCAACUAGUAAAAUAUACAAUUUGAAAGCAAAAAUGAGAAAAUCAUAUUGAAGGAGACAGGUUUUAUUUUCAUACUGUAGAUCACCUAAGAAUUCCAUGAGCCCUAUUGUAACUUUCCUAAGAAGCCCAAAGUAGAACAUCCGAUUAAUUCUUUAAUUAAUAAUCUAUAAUAACCAUGUAAGCUAACAAAAAUUCUACACAUACAUGACUGCUAAAGGACUUUAUAUAAAAAUUAAAGUUUAAAAUGUCACUUUAUAACCCUAACAUAAGUCUAGCUACUAAAUCAAAAUUGAGUUGAUUAAAGUUUUCAUAUUUUUUUCAAUCACCAAAUUAAUAACAUCAAAUUCAAUUUCUUAAUAUCCUAUCAAGGGCUAUCACAGUGUCUAUCAAACUAUAGUUAAUUACAUACAUCAAUUAGAAUUUCGCAAAACAAGAUCUAUUACAGAACUUCAAUUGAGAAAACCAAUAAAAUCGAAAUUAACACGAACCCAUUAACGUAAGCAUGAGAUCUAAUUAACCUAGAUGAAGAAAAAAUCUCAAAAUUAGUUGUGAAUCAAAAUCUAGAAAAAAAAAAUUCAACCCCACUUUCAUUCAACAAAUUUUAAUCGAUUUUAUCAUCCUCAUGAUAGAUUUACAAACAAAAAUUUGUCACCAUAUCAUGUAAAUCAGAACCAAUAAGUUUUUAUGAAAAAAAAAACUCAUUCUAAAUACAAACCCCAUGAUUUAUGGACCCAAUUCAAAGGACAAAUGUAAAAGAAAAAGACAUUAAGCAUUUACCUUGCAAGAAUCGAACCAAAUGUUAGGGUUCGCUGAACAACUUGUGGCGAAAGGACAAAGAGACUGAAAAACGAUGGAAAAUGGGUGUCCAAUUGAGAAUGAUGGUAUGGACGGUGGUAGAAUGGUUGAGUUUUGAAUGGUAGAAUGGUGGCUUUUUUGAUCGAUUCUUAUUCUAGGGUUUCUGUUAAUGAUGAGAGAGUAAGGAAAAAUGGAUAGUGAGUGAGCAAAUGUCUAACACUUAGACAAAAUUUUUGGGUUUUAUGUAAACGUACACUUAAACGCCAUCGUUUUUGUUUUGUUUUUUAUAUUUUUUAAAUUUUUAAAUGAAAUAAUAUAUUAAAAGUUAGUCACAAAUGGUCAAAAUCAAAUAAUUCUAUCAUGAUUUCAUGAUAGAGUAAAUUUGCAUCACGACUCUAUCAUUAAUUCUAGAUAGGGGUGGGCAAAAUCGGGUUCGGUUCAACCCGAUCGGGUUUCGGGUUGAUCGGGUUAGAUGAGAACUCAUCCGAAUUCAACCCGAAUCUAUAACCCGAUCCGACCCGAUCCGAAUAUAAUUCGGAUCGGAUCGGGUCGGAUAUAAAAAAUACACACACAAUCUACCCAUUUACACACACACGAUCUACACAUUUACAGCAACAACCCAAAGCUUUCAAAACUCAACAGCCAAAUGGAGCUUGAAUCGGAUCGGGUGAUGGCGGAGGAUUGGAGGCGUGGAGGUGGCGCAGCAGAUCCGGUACUUGGUAGUAGUAGAUCAGUAGAUCGAGUCACCAUUCUCACGGAGUAGCUUCGGUUGGAGUGGGCUGUAUAACUGUCGCUUGUUUCCGUCGAUAGUGGGAUGCGAGAGAGGGAGGCUGUGGCUUGUGGGUGGGUGUGGGCGAUUAUGUUGCUGGUCGGCAGGGGGCUGUGGGUGUGUCAGUGUGUGUGGUGUUCACUUCGUGUUCCAGUGUGUGUGUUCCAGUGCGUGGGGGGCGUGGUGUGUGUGUGUUCCAAUGUGUGUGUUUCAGGGCGUGGGUGGUAUGUAUGUGUUCCAGUGUGUGUGUUCCAAUGUGUGUGUUCCAGUGCGUGGGUGGUGUGUAUGUGUUCCAGUGUGUGUGGUGUGUAUGUGUUCCAGCGUGUGUGUUCUAGUGUGUGUGGUGUAUAUGUGUUCCGGUGUGUGUGUGUGGGGUGUGUAUUUGAGGUUUAAUUUUUUUUUUUUUUGUGUCAACCCGAUCGGGUCAACCCGAUCCGAUCAUGAUCCACCCGAUCCGAUCCGAUCAUAAUCCGAUCGGGUUGACACAAAUGCACCCGAUCGGGUUUUCUUUACAACCCGAUCCGAUCCGAACCCGAUUUUUUUCGGAUCGGAUCGGGUCGGAUCGGGUAUUUUGCCCACCCCUAAUUCUAGAUAAACAAUAAUUCUAUCACAAAACCAUCAUUAAUUUAUGAUAGACCAAAAUUCUAUCACGAGUAUGUCAUACAUUUAUGAUAUAAGUCAUUUUACUCAAAAUCUAUCACAAGUUGUUUGUUAUCUAUUGCCAAUCUUCUUGUAGUGAAAAAUUUUGAUAACAAACAAAAUGAUACAUAACUGUAAAUAGAAUGGUUUGUUUUUGUCAAAUGAUGUCUAAAGCUUGUGGCUCAAUAAUUCAAAAGCAAACAGUAAAAAGAAAAAACAAACAAUGAUUAGAUAUUAAAUCACACAAAAAAAUAAUGCAAAAGAUAAAAGAACAGUAAAAUAAAAAAAAUACUUACUGGUAGUUGUGAUUAUAGCUCACAUCUUCCACUGAUUUUACAUCUAGUAAUGGCUUGAACGCCCUUUAUGGGUUGAUGAUAGGUUUCCCAUCUAGUUUUCUAAUAAACUAGCAAAUAUGGUCUUUUAGGGUCAAAUUCCUAUUAAACCGUGCACUUUCUUUUUGGAACAGCUUCCAUAAAUUAUGAAUCUCACAUUGCACAUAUUCACUCGGAUGCGUCUCAAUCGUAAGAUAUCAUCUAACGAUUCUUUACUCAUGUCAUUCUUAAUGAAUUUGAUUUUAUCUUCACGAUUUACAGAGACCAUUCCUAAAGUUUUACAACGUGGUUUAUUACAAGCAAGUCUUACACAGUUAGGACAUCUACAGCCAAGCCGCUUAACUCUUCUUUUUCUAACAGUUGUGUUUUUACUAAAAUUAGACAUGUAAGAAACAAAUGGAUCACAAAACUCACUUACCAAUUGGACCUUUACUUUAAUUAACUAACGAAUGUCAGCAUAAAUCUCAUUGAUCAUUAACAAACACAGUCGUUCACAAUAAGCUUUGUGAAUCUUCUUAAGAGCAUUUUGAGGGAGAGAAAAGAAAAUGUUUAUACAAUUUAUGUUGUAUUUCUUUCGUGCUAGAUUUUGGGGUUUCAGUUAUUUUGGGAAACUGAAAGUACUAAUUUAAAAAGUCACAUAGUACCAUUAUUUGCCAUUUAUACGGGAAGUGAAUCAAAAUAUAUCAAAAAAACACGAAUCAAAUCUACAAAAUCAAGUCAAAAGUAAAGGAGAACAAAACAAGAAAAUAAAAACACAAUGAAUAAAAUCAAACAUGUAAUUCACCUUCAUCCUUUCAUUGAAUUACCUCAAGUUCCAAUUAGAAUUUAUAAAUACCAUCCUCUAUUUUUAUGAAUUUUCUUUCUAGAUCUUCAACGUGUGAUACUAACAUUGGUGGUUGUAAAUCCCAAAUAGGAUGUGAUUUACAAACUUAGAGUAAGCUUCUUAUGUGAAUUUUUACACGUAAAAGUUCUCCAAGAUGUUUGAAAAGGAUCCUUCUCAUGGAGGUACACAUGACAAAUAUCAAAAAGCCGAAAUGAAACACAAUUGUCAAAUAAACACACUUAAAAAAAAUAAUGUAAUGCACUCCAUUCAAGAAAUAGAAAAAAAUCAAAUAAUACAAACGGCACAGUAAAAGUAAAGAAAAAUGACAAAAAGUGAAAACAAGAUACUUAAUCAAGAUUUGGUGGGUCAUUCAAAUUAAUUUCGAUGUGUGCUUCACGUGGUUGGUAUUUCAAAUAUGGUUUCAAUCUUUGACCAUUAACUUUAAAUGUGACACCGUUAUUUGAAUUCUCAAUUUUUGUGACCCCAUAUGUAUAUAUAUUUUUUACAACAAAUGGGUUACUCCACUUUGACUUUAAUUUCCUUAGAAACAAAUAAAGACGAAAGUUCUAAAGUAGUACUUUUUGACCAAUCUCAAAUGUUUUCUAAAAAACUCUUCUAUUAUGAAAAGCUUUGGUUCUUACCUUAAUAAUUCUUGAAUUCUUAUAUGCAUCGUUCGUUAAUUCCUCAAGUUCAUUCCAUUGUAAUUUUCACACAUUACCAGUAUCAUCAAAAUUUGAAUUAAAAAUUUUAACAGCCCAAAAUUAUUUAUAUUCAAGUUCAACCGGUAAGUGGCAAGAUUUAAAAUAAACAAGCCGAUGGAGUGACAUUCCUAAAGAUAUUUUAAAUGUUGUAUGGUACGUCCAAAGUGUAUCAGUUAGUCGAAGAGACCAAUCUUUGCGAUUUGGGUUAACUGCCUUUUACAAAAUUAGUUCUAUCUCCAUAUUUGCUAAUUCAACUUGACCACUUGUUUGAGAAUAAUAAGGGAUAGCAACUUUACUUGUAAUUCCAUAUUUCUUCAUCAAGGACGCAAAUGGCUUGUUACAAAAAUACUUACCUCUAUCACUAAUAAUGGCUCAAAAGAUUCUAAAUCUGCUCAAAAGAUUUUCUUUUAAAAAGUGGAUCAUAGUCUUAUGAUCGUUGUGUCGACAAGGAAUCGCUUCAAUCAACGUAACUAUAAUAUAUACAAAUUCAAAUAAUGAUGGCAAAAAACCCAAAAAAAUCAAUUCCCCGAUAAUCAAAUAUUUCAACAACAAUGAUGGGGUCUAAAGGCAUCAUGUUUCGCUUUGAAACAGACCUUACCAUUUGACGAUUCUUACGCACUUUGCAGAAUACAUGUGAAUCUUUAAAUAAUAUAGGCCAAUAAAAUCAAACUGCAAUAUUUUUGCAACUGUCUUUUUUUAAGAAAAGUGGCCACCAUGUGCUUUAAAAUGACAUAAUUGAAUGACAUUACUUACCUUGUCGCCUGGUAUGUAUCUUCAAAAAUUUUGAUCAAAACAGUACUUGAACAAGUAUGGAUCAUCCCAAUAAAAACUUUUUACUUUUGUUAAAAAUUUCUUCUUGUCUUGGGAGCUCCAGUCACAUGGCGUUUCACCUGUUGCAAAAUAAUUAACAAUAUUAGCAUACAAAUGCAUUUUGUUUAUAGAAAAUAAAAAUUCAUCAGGGAAAGAAUCAUUGAUGGGUGUUAUAUCAAUUGAACACUCAUUUGUAAGUCUCGAAAGAUAAUCUACAACAAUGUUUUCAACGCCUUUUUUUCCUUCAUUGUCAGGCUAAAUUCUUGAAGUGGCAAAAUCUAUCGUAUCAAUCUUGGCUUGGCAUCCUGUUUAGACAUUAAAUAUCUAACAGCAGCAUAAUCAAAAUAAACAAUGGUAGAUGAACCAAUUAAAUACGAACGAAAGUUAUCCAGUGCAAAUACUACAGUAAAUAGUUCUUUUUCACUUGUGGUGUAAUUCAUUUGGACACUAUUCAAAGUUAUACUUGCGUAAUAGAUGACAAAGGGCUUACCUUCCUUUCUCUGUCCCAAAAUAGCUCCAACGGCAUAAUCACUAGCAUUACACAUUAGCUCAAAAGGUAAAGAUCAAUCAAAUGGUUGCAUUAUUAAAGCCUAUGUCAAAAGAUUAAUUAUCUUUUUGAAAGGUUUUUGACAAUCUUUAGUCCAUUUGAAUGGUGUGUCUUUUAUUAAGAGGUAACAAAGUGGACUAAAUAUGGCAUUAAAUUCUUUUAUAAACCUUCUACAAAACCCUACAUCUCCUAAAAAGGAAAUGACUUCUUUAAUUCUCUUUAGUGAGGGUAAUUUUGAGAUUUCAAUUUUGCCUUUGUUAACUUCAAUUCCUUUUAAAGACACAACAUAGCCCAAGACAAUUCCAAAAGUGCUCAUGAAAUGACAUUUUUCCCAAUCUAAAACUAUUCCUUUUUUUGUACUUUUCCAAAACUCUUUCUAGAUUAUCAAGACAUGUAACAAAUAAUUACCAAAUACAGUUAAAUCAUCCAUAAAAACCUCUUGACAAUUUUCAACCACAUCGCUAAAAAUACUAAGCAUGCAUCUUUGAGAUGUUGCAGGAGCACUAUAAAGUUCAAAAGGCAUUCUCCUAAAUGCAAAUGUUCCAAAUGGACAAAUGAAUAUGGUUUUUUCCUAGCCAUCUAAUGCGAUAGGAAUUUGAUAAUAGCCCGAGUAGCUAUCAAGAAAAUAUAUUAAGUGUGUCCUGCUACUCUCUCGAGAAUUUGGUCUAAAAAUGAAAGAGAAAAUUAUCUUUUCUAAUGGCAUCAUUUAAUUUUUUGUAAUUAAUUUACAUGCACAAACUAGAUGGAAUUUUUAUUGGGAUUGCUUCACCUUUUUCAUUGUUUUACCAUAGUUAUUUCAGAUUUCUUUAAAACUACUUGUGUUGGAGUUACUUAUUUACUAUCAGAGAUAUGAUAGAUAAUUUUUAUAUCUAAUAAUUAAGGANNNNNNNNNNNNNNNNNNNNNNNNNNNNNNNNNNNNNNNNNNNNNNNNNNNNNNNNNNNNNNNNNNNNNNNNNNNNNNNNNNNNNNNNNNNNNNNNNNNNNNNNNNNNNNNNNNNNNNNNNNNNNNNNNNNNNNNNNNNNNNNNNNNNNNNNNNNNNNNNNNNNNNNNNNNNNNNNNNNNNNNNNNNNNNNNNNNNNNNNNNNNNNNNNNNNNNNNNNNNNNNNNNNNNNNNNNNNNNNNNNNNNNNNNNNNNNNNNNNNNNNNNNNNNNNNNNNNNNNNNNNNNNNNNNNNNNNNNNNNNNNNNNNNNNNNNNNNNNNNNNNNNNNNNNNNNNNNNNNNNNNNNNNNNNNNNNNNNNNNNNNNNNNNNNNNNNNNNNNNNNNNNNNNNNNNNNNNNNNNNNNNNNNNNNNNNNNNNNNNNNNNNNNNNNNNNNNNNNNNNNNNNNNNNNNNNNNNNNNNNNNNNNNNNNNNNNNNNNNNNNNNNNNNNNNNNNNNNNNNNNNNNNNNNNNNNNNNNNNNNNNNNNNNNNNNNNNNNNNNNNNNNNNNNNNNNNNNNNNNNNNNNNNNNNNNNNNNNNNNNNNNNNNNNNNNNNNNNNNNNNNNNNNNNNNNNNNNNNNNNNNNNNNNNNNNNNNNNNNNNNNNNNNNNNNNNNNNNNNNNNNNNNNNNNNNNNNNNNNNNNNNNNNNNNNNNNNNNNNNNNNNNNNNNNNNNNNNNNNNNNNNNNNNNNNNNNNNNNNNNNNNNNNNNNNNNNNNNNNNNNNNNNNNNNNNNNNNNNNNNNNNNNNNNNNNNNNNNNNNNNNNNNNNNNNNNNNNNNNNNNNNNNNNNNNNNNNNNNNNNNNNNNNNNNNNNNNNNNNNNNNNNNNNNNNNNNNNNNNNNNNNNNNNNNNNNNNNNNNNNNNNNNNNNNNNNNNNNNNNNNNNNNNNNNNNNNNNNNNNNNNNNNNNNNNNNNNNNNNNNNNNNNNNNNNNNNNNNNNNNNNNNNNNNNNNNNNNNNNNNNNNNNNNNNNNNNNNNNNNNNNNNNNNNNNNNNNNNNNNNNNNNNNNNNNNNNNNNNNNNNNNNNNNNNNNNNNNNNNNNNNNNNNNNNNNNNNNNNNNNNNNNNNNNNNNNNNNNNNNNNNNNNNNNNNNNNNNNNNNNNNNNNNNNNNNNNNNNNNNNNNNNNNNNNNNNNNNNNNNNNNNNNNNNNNNNNNNNNNNNNNNNNNNNNNNNNNNNNNNNNNNNNNNNNNNNNNNNNNNNNNNNNNNNNNNNNNNNNNNNNNNNNNNNNNNNNNNNNNNNNNNNNNNNNNNNNNNNNNNNNNNNNNNNNNNNNNNNNNNAUAGUAAACUGAAAAAUAACAUUAUAGAAAGGUUAAACCUACCAUAUAAAUUAACCAAAAAAAAAUAUAAGAAUUAAAUUGCAGUAAUUAAAAGAAGAAUGCAGGAAAAGAAUACUAACCCUUAAGGCGUGGACUCUCUCUUUUUUUUUUUUUUUUUUGCCAAUUUUAAGAAUUACCAACUAAUUAGAUAAUUAAUUUAAUUUCUGGGCCUUAAUAGUAAUUUUAAAUCCAUGUAUGUUAUGUCCACAAAAUCCAAAGGUCCAAGUUCAUCUAGUCUUUUAAUUCCAAAAGACUAAAGAAUAAGGCAAAGUCCAAAUAAUCAAGUUCUAAUUCGGUUUGAGGGACUGAUUUGCAAAGUUUCUGGAUCAAAAUAAAAUUUUUCAUAAAUUUUAUAGAUGAUAUUAAAAUUUCAAGAGAAGAAGGGCGCUAACUGAAGUUUUACAGAAAAAUAAAAUAAAAUAAAAUGACAGACAGAAACGAAUGGCAAAAAUAAAUUGACACCAAAUUUAAAAAAUUUACUGGCAAUAGUGCCAAAAAAUUGGCACAACUCAAAAGUAUUGUUACUCUCAAAUAUGAAAAUAUCUAGUUAUAAUAUAAGUGAGUGAGUCUAAGGUCGAACCACGAGAAAUUUAAAAUCUAGUAGUCAACUUAUUAAACAAAAAAAUUAAAUGCGAGAAAAGAAAUUAAUAGGAAUCAAUUUAUAAAUUUGCUAAGGUUAUGGGAUUCACUCUCGGAUUUUAAACUAUAGUUAUAACAACUCUCUCAUAUUUGAAUUUUGCAUUUAUUUUGCCAAUUAAUUAUUAUGUCAUUUAAUUCUUAAGUAAACAUUUGUGUGAUAAAUAUGGGAUCAAAUACGUAAUGUGGCACAAUUAUAUUGAAAUGUCAACAUUAUGUCCUAAUAUCAUAUAAAUCUAAAGAGAUAUAGUUCUAUAAAUUAACAUGAAAUAAAAGAAACUAGUAAAGAAGAAAAAUACAACAAAUAAAAUAAAUUUUAAGACUUACUUGAGAAAAUAAUUAAUCAAUAAUUUAAAUUCUUAAGCUUCUCCUUUCACCUCAGCUCAAAAAAUUAAUCACUCAUAUUGAACAACAAAACACUUACUUUAUUGAACAAACUUCUGAAAUAUAUAUUAUAAGAGAUUGAACUAUACAAAAUAAGAAAUUUUUCUAGGUCUCAGUCUCAGCUUCCUCUCUUCUCUCCGCACUGCCCCCCUCGCCUUUUAUAAGCAGCAGAAAUCUUCAUCUUCUUUUAUUUUAUUAUUAUUUAUCUAUAUAACUUUUUUUAUUAAAUCUCCUUAAUAAUACAUUCCAAAUGGCUCCAACAAUUCUUUUUUGUUUCUCACUUUUAGUUCCAAUUUGCUCUUUAUUUUUGAAAUAUUUACAAUAUAAAAACUAACAUACUGUAAAUUAAUUUAAUAUAAAAAAUUAUUAGACAGUAUUAAGAUAAUUUAGAAAUAAUAAGGGCAUUAAUUAAUACUGUAAGUAAAAAAUUGAUAAUUUUAUCUUUAAUAAAUAUACACUUUUCAAUGUCAAUCACUUAGCUAGAAUUUCACAUACUUUAGUUUUUUUUUUUUCAUUAAAACAUCCUCAUACAUUUAUAAUGAAAGAUAAAAAUAAAUAAAGAAAACCAUUUAUUAUAUCGUUUAAUAAAUACAUCCAUAUGCAAAUAGCAAAUAAAUCUAUUUCUAAAAAACUUAAUUGAAGCAUCAAACUAUACUUUAUAAACAUCCUCGAAAUUAUGAAAUUAAACUAAUUCUCACUAAAUUCAUUAACCAAAACCAUUAAGAAAAACUUCUUGGCGUAAUUUCAUAUAAUUUCUUAGCCAUGAAUAACCUAUUAAAUAUUAUUUUGAGAUCAUAUUGCACUAUAAUUCUUUAAAAAGCUAUCAUUAUUAGUUAGCUAAUCUCCAAUCCAUAUCAAUCCUCAAUAAUUUAUAUAUCCGUCAACUUCAUAUCAUUGAACAUAUCAAUCCUCAAUUCAUUAUUUCGGAAAAAUUCUACUCCAAAAUUCAUAUAUCAAAAACUUCCUAAUCCUCAAAAUUAUUUAAUAAAUAAACUCCAAAGUUUCACCAAAAUCAAAUUAAUCAUAAUAUACUUAUUUUUGCCUAAUUAACAUUUCCUCAAAUUUGAACUUUUCUUAAAAGUGAUCUGUAAUAAAUAGCCUAAUAUUCAAAAAAUAAAUACAUUCAUAAUACAAUAUUUCUGUAAAAUAGAACUCCCCUUAAACGUAUAUUUAUUCUCCAAUAUCUUGUUAAUCUUUUGCAAUCCUCCAAAUAUCAAUUGAUAUCUUGCAAGAAACUCAAAAAUUGUUGAACCUGUAUUUAAUUUAAAAAAAUAAAGGUGGUUAAACGAAAUUUUUAUGGUCAAAAAAUUGCUUUACACCUUUCCCAUUCUCGUUGCUCUCUCUCUCUCAAAGCUCAUGGCGUGGGUUUAGGGAUGGCAAUGGAUUGGAUCUGAUCCAAGAUCCACGUGAUCCAAAUCCAAUCGGAUUGGAUUUGGAUCAGUUUAAAAUGGAUUUGGAUCGGAUUUGUAUAUUGAUAUGCGGAUAGACGGAUCUUGAGCAAAUUUGGAUCUAUCUUAAUAUCUAAAUUCAUAUCCAUAUCCACUCAUCUUUUAAUUUUAUUUUAUUUUAAAAAUUGCUUAACAAUUGUGGAAUUAUAAUGAUAAUAAAUUUUAUUCAUAGCAUAUUAGUAGUAUUUACCAUGCAUUUAAAAUCUUAAAACUUAAAGCUUAGUUUUAUAAAUUUAAAGGUCAGCCAGCCCCAAAUCAUAUACAUGCAAUAUUCAAAUUGCAAGUCAAGUAAUAUAACCUGUCAAUUUAUUUUAUUAUAUUGGCCAAAUAAUUUUUAAGGAAUAUAGUUAUUCAUAUAUUUAGUCAAAUAUGGUCAUAAUAAAAAUAAUAAAUGACUAAAUAUAAAUCAUGUUUAAUUUAUAUGUCAUUAUCUAAUGUUGUAGAAAUGAGGGUAGGUGUAUUGUGGAUAUUAGAAUGAUGAAUGAGACAAUAGAAUAUUAGAUUGAUCUUACUUCUGCAAUUACUUCUGAAUCAUAUUUUAUUAUCUUUCUUAUUUGUUAUUUUGGUGUAAAAGUAUAAGCUCCAAUAUUUAUUAUAUUUUUGAGAAAAAUUAUAUAAUUUAUUUGUUAUCAAUACAUUUUAGCCUUCAAUUUUCAAUCUAAAAAAAUAUUACUUUUUUAUUACUGAAUUUUAGAAUUUAUGACGGAUCUAGAGCAGAUUUGGAUUUUAAUUUUUUUUUUCGGAUUUGGAGCAGAUAUAGAUAUUUAUUUCUUUUUUGGAUCUGGAUAUGGAGCGAAAAAUAUGGAUUCAUGACGGAUCUAGAGCAAAUAUGGAUCUUAAUUUUUAUUAUGGAUUUGGAUCUGUAGCAGAGUAGAUCCAAUCCAUAUCUGCCCCAGUGCCAUCCCUACGUGGGUUUGGUAUCGUUUUUCAAUUAGUGUUUCCCAUUCUUAUUGUAGAGAAGAAAAAUGUUGUUUUUCAUGUGAUGUUUUGAAAAGUUAAAAUGCGUUUGGUAGUUUGUUUUAAAAUAGUAUAUAAAAAAAUGAAAGUAAAAAAAAAAUUGUGUUUGGCUGUUUAUCUGAAAAAGUGAAGACAGUGAGAGAGAGUAAAGAGUUAUUUAUUAUUUAAAAAAAUUUUAAUAGUUACAUCAUAUUUUUGUGCGAGAUAUUAUUAUUAAGUGUAAUUACUUUAUUUUCAAAUGUAUUCUAUUAUUCUAAACAUUAUUUUGUGGAAUAAAAUAUAAAAUUAAAUUGUCUAAAAUAGCUUAAUGCAAUAUAGUAAACCAAAAAAAUAUGUUAUGAUAUAAAUUUUUUAACUAAAAUACCAUGAUUAAUUGUAUUUUUUAUAAUUUAUUAUAAAUAUAUGUAAGAAAAUUAUUUUUAUUUUAAGAAAGUUAUUUUAUUUAGAAAAUAGUUCCUAUUUUGUGUUUUAAAAUAAUAUUGCAUUUUAAUUAUAUAAAUAGAUUUUAUUUAUUACAUAAUAAUAUUUGAAAGAAUAUAAAAUUAUUUUAUAGUUUUUAUAUAUUUGCUAACAUUGCUUGGAGGAUAUAACUUUUUUAUUGAUAUAUUUUCAACAAUAUUUAGAAAAUUGUUAUAAUUUUUAUUUUAAAAUAAUAUAUAAAAAAAUUAAAAUGAUUGAUUCGGCUUCAAGACAUCAAAUAAACAUAAUUUUCAUUUAAUGUUAUUUAUGAAAUACCAUUAUUUAAACCGACCUAGAGUGCUUUUGUUGGGCCUAAAAUGUAUUAAUUGUCUUUGGAGUUUAAAUAUGUUAAACCGAGCUUAAAAUAUAAUAAUAACAAUAAUAACCUCCUUAUUUUUUAACAGCUCAGGUUACUUCCUUUUUGUUCAAAAGAUAAGAAAAAUAUGAAGUUGGGUUAAUAAUAUUUUUUUUUUCUUAACAAAAAUAGAGGUAAAUUAAGAUUUUCAAAAAUGAGGAGGGUGAUUUGAAAAUAUUCAGUUCACAAAAGAGGUAAGUCAAAAUAAAUUGUAAGAAUAAUUAGUUUGGGAUAUUUCAUAUCACCCUUCAAAUUCCUCAUAAAACCCUUUUCUAAAUUACCCCAUUAAAGAAAUAAAUAAUUUUAUUAUUUCAUAAAUACUCUCCACCCCGUUCAAAACUUUUUUUUUUAAUAAUAUAUAAAAAAUUAAGUAAUAAUUCCACUCUUUGGUUUUAACUUUGAGUGGUACUCUUGACACCCCUCCAAAAACCUCUUAAAACUGCUAUUUAUUAUUUACCCCAUUAAAAUAUUUUAGAGUAUAAUAUGUUUCUUAUAACAUAUUCUUGUACAACAAAAAUAACCUUAAUUAAAACAUUACUCAUAAAACGUCAUUCUAUCAAUUAUUAAUAUUGUUCAAACCUCAUAUAAAAAUUUUUCUUGUUCCUCUUCCUCCCAUGCUCUUUUUUUUUUUUAAAUUUAUUUUUCUCUUCUUUUGGUCUUCCAACACUACCGUGCUUAGCCCCAGUUCCUCCUUUAUUUUCUCCCUUUUCUUUUUUAUUUUUUAACUUCUUGUGCCGGUAAAUUGUGCGUUAAAAUUGCUAGGUCCCAACCUGUUGCUCAAGACAAUUUAAUAAAUAUGUGUUUUAGUUCUAAAUAUGCAACUAAUUCUUGUAUCUUGAUAUUAAAAAAUCAUGCCCAUAAGCCCAAAUAUGUUAUUCCAGGGUCCAUAACUCACCGAACGCAGCGUUAAUAUUAAACACACGGUGAAGAUCCAUUUCUCAAUAAGAGUCUAAUCUCAGCCGUUGAAUAGUUCACAAGCUAGAACGCAGCGUUUAGACAAGUUUUACAGUUACAAAACCCUAGCUUUUUCACUUAACAGAGCCACUCUUAUAUAACUUGCUCAAAGAAGCUCUCUUAUUUGGUUCUUCCGCAGUCCGAUCUUCUACGGCCAGGGGACACGACACUUAAACUCUGUGAGUCGACUCAGAUUUCAUUAGCCCUUAAGCUUCCAUUUUCAUUCUAAUCGAUAUAUGCUGCCCUUUGUGGAUUUUCAGCCUUUGAUCUUGUUCAAACUUUCUGCUUUGUUGUUAUUUUUGUGAUCAUGUUGCUUUUUUGCCGUUUUAUCCAUCUGGGCAUUUUUUUUCGUUUGUUGAAAUAUACUGAUCUUUUUUUUUUCAAUUUUGUUAUGUAUUAUGCUUUUGGUUGGUGAGAAUAUGUAAAGAGGAAAGUAAAAGAAAUAAGAAAAGCCUAUUACAAUUAAUUCAUUUCAUUGAGCUUGAAUCAAAAUCUGUAUCAUUAAUAAUUAAUCCGAAGAAGGCUCAAUUUAUGUCUUUUGUUUUUUUUUUCUGAAAGAAGAGUUUUGAGGGCAAAUUUUUAACUAUGAUUGAGAUGGAAGUGAUGAUUAUUUCCCCAGAUGAUCGACAAUGAUUAUAAUGUGCGAUUUUUCUCUUUUUGAGAAUCCAAGCCAGUAUUCUGAUCCAUCUCCAUGUCAUUUUAACUAACUAUUCCACUUUCAUUAAUAUUGGUCAAAAUUUUUACUUUUAGGUUAUUAUAUUUUGUAAUGUAGGUUUCUGCAUAUUAGAGAAGAUACAAGUAGCUUCAAUGUUGUUAGGGAUGUUUAAUGUUGCUAUGAUAAUAAUGUCUAUUUGGGACUGUUAUAGGAUUCGAGUAUGUUUUGAUUUUAUGGCAUGCACGUUUAUUGUUUUACUAAGCUAGACCUUAUUCUGAAUGUGGGUUUGUUAUUAUUAUAGAGAUGGCUGAAGUAGAAGCCAAGGCGCCAGUUCCAGAGUCUGUCUUGAAGAAGCAGAAGAGGAAUGAGGAAUGGGCUUUGGCAAAGAAGCAGGAGCUUGAAACUUCCAAGAAGAACAAGCUCGAGAGUAGGAAGCUGAUUUACAAUAGGGCUAAGCAGUAUGCAAAGGAGUUUGCUGAGCAGGUGAUCGUUGUAAACUUCUUCAAAGUUUAAUUUUAUUACUAUAUUUGGAUUAACAAGAUUCUUUUUUUCCCCUAAUUUUAGGAAAAGGUGUUGAUUCAAUUGAAGCGUGAAGCUAAAUUGAAAGGAGGGUUUUAUGUUGACCCUGAAGCUAAGCUUUUGUUUAUCAUCCGUAUCCGUGGGUAAGUUGGCAUUAUUGAUGUUUAUGAUCUUUUUCAAAAUUGUGGAGUAUGGAUUUUAAUAACUUAGUUGUGUGCUUUGGAACUCUCAGUAUCAAUGCCAUUGACCCAAAGACAAAGAAGAUUUUGCAGCUUUUACGUUUAAGACAGGUAGUUUAUUGAUUUCUACUUACUUCCAUAUGAAUUAGAUUUAAAGCUUUGUGAUAUUCUUGCCAUUUUCUUAUUAUGCCUUCUCAGUUUUUGUGUUGUUCGCAUGGGUGGGAUUGGAAACUUUCUAGUCUGGAAAGUUCUUGUGGCGUGACUCAUCUCUCUUAGAAAAGAGAAAAUGGGGGGAAUAUGUACUAGUCUUGUUUAAUAUUGUAGUUGUUUACUGGCUGGAGGAGACUUGUGAUACGUAGCUGGAGCAUUAAUUGUUUUUAUUCCGUCUUUCAUUGCUCUGAUGCGGUUUAAUGUUUUAGUAUAUUGUGUAGUGUUUUGUGGUGUCUUUAGUUUGUUUUAAUCUUAGUUUGGGCCUGUGUAUUUGUCGCCUGUGAGAUGUUUCAGUUGGAUUUUCUUUUUCAAUUUCAUGUUGUGGUUGCAUUAUAUGGAAGGUAGAUACAUUAAUUUGUGAUAAAUUAUAGUCAUGCAACAUGACAUUGAGUAAUUUUGGUAUUGAAACUUGAUUUAUUUCAAAAUCUAGUGUCAACUUUUUUCUUGAAUAAGAACAUUGUUUGAUUAAUUUCCUCCUUGAAUAAUACAGAUCUUCAAUGGAGUUUUUCUUAAAGUGAACAAAGCUACCAUGAACAUGCUUCAUAGGGUUGAACCUUACGUCACCUAUGGGUAGGUCAAAUAUUAUGUGUGUGAUUUUACUAUUUGGAAGGCUUUUGCUUCUAAUAUGUGUAACAUGUCUGAUGAACUCAUGUUUCAUGUAGAUACCCCAAUUUGAAGAGUGUUAGGGAGCUCAUUUACAAGAGGGGAUAUGGAAAGCUAGAUAAGCAGAGAAUUGCUUUGACUGAUAACUCAAUUAUUGAGAAGGUUUGCGCAUCCUAUGUUCCUUAGUGUUCAUCAUGUGGCAGUUGUGCUGCAUAGUGCCUCGCUUAACAUGUUAUGAAUGAUGAUGUAUCAGGCUUUGGGCAAGUUCGGUAUCAUCUGCAUGGAAGACCUGAUCCAUGAGAUUAUGACAGUGGGACCUCAUUUUAAGGAGGCUAACAACUUUUUAUGGCCAUUUAAGCUCAAGGCACCAUUGGGUGGCCUGAAGAAGAAGAGGAACCACUAUGUCGAGGGUGGUGAUGCUGGAAACCGUGAGAACUACGUCAAUGAACUGAUCAGAAGAAUGAACUAGGCAGUUCGCAUUAUUUUGAUGAUUAUUUAGAGUUUUGAGGUGUUUCAUUAUUUAAGAGUUUUGAGGUUCUUAUGCUAAGAUAUUGUUGGUACCGUAGCAAACGAAAUUUUAGUCCCCCCUUUUAAUGUGGAAACAGUUUUUGUUUUAAACAAUGGAUCAUGAGAUGUUAUUUGGAAAUUUUAUUCUGCUUCGGAUUCGAGGGUUAGUUCAUAAUUUUUUAUGUAUGUUCAGAUUUUCAAAAGCAUGAAGGCCUCUUGAUUGAUAUAAUAUUGUGCUAUUUUGUAACGCACUCCAUAUGAUACUGGAAUUAACCUUGUUUAAUUGUUCAACUUCUAUGUGUGUUUUUUUUCACUCUACUAAAGGGCUUUUUAGAAUAUGGUCAACAUAAGCAUUGAACCCAUCCAACAGUAUAUUUAAAUGGAUGGAAAGGACUGAUAGGAUGCCUACUGGCCUCGUAAAUCGGAUUGGUAGAAUUUAGUGGGAUUAAGGAUCUAGUCCCGAACGGUAGCGAUAUAAAAUUUUUUGUGUUGAUAUAUGGGGGUCGUCAAAAAUACCCAACUACCAAGCCUAGGUGAUGUGGGGAUGAGGUGGGGUUAGUUCUGUCGGGUUCGGUAAGAAAUUUACAUUUUACAAAAAAAAAAUGUUAUAAAAUAUAAUAUUAUUUUAAAUAACUGUAUUUAUUUGACUUAAUUAUUACAUGUGUUUAAAAUCCUAAAUAUUUACAGUUCAUAUUUUCAUAUAUAUUUUCAUUAAAAUAAUUUUAAAAUUUGUAAAAUUAUAAAAUAAAUUAAAAAAUAUACAUAUAUAAUACUUGGACCGGGUGUCUAAAAAGCAUCUCCAAGCUUGGCUCCGGGCAUUACCAUACCCAAGCUCGGACUUGAAUUUUGUCGUCCCUAAUAUACUAUUUGGAUUAAGAUUUGAAAUGAAAUUUUACUUCAAUUUACUAUUUGAAUGGGAUUUAUGAUGCUUGAAAAAUGAACGAAAUUUGAAUGAAAUUUGAAUCUCGACUAUAUUGUUAAUUGUAGCUCAAAUUUGGAUUUUCAGAAGCGUGUGACUAAUUAGUUAUAUGAAUUAUAGAUAACUAACAUGUCAGUAAGGUUUGUACGAUAAGUCAUUUUUAUAAAUAAAAAAUAUAUGACUUGUCUAUCAUAUUCGUUUGACAUAUUGGUUAUGAUAGAAUUUGCAUAGUAUAAUAGUAAACUCACGCCAUCUAAGACAUUUAUGAUCUUUAUCGGUUUUGAUGGGAACAAGAUCAGUACAAAUUUUGUGUUCCUAUUUAUUAUUCGAGAUGGGAUUUGAAACAAUUUCUCUCAAUUGACAAUUAGAGCAGGAUUCGGAUUGACCAAUCCCAAUCAGAGCAUCCCGAUUGCCAACCCUACUUAUAAAUAUUGAUUACAAAGAAAGUUUAAAUGUAUGUGUGUGUGUGUGUGUAUUUUUUGAUAAGAAAUUUUAUAUUUAUAUUUAUAUUUUAAAAAAGUGACGUUCCUUUGUUAUUGUUAGAACUGAGUAGGAUUUUGAUAGAAAAGAUGGAUCUCCAUCAUAAAAAUCUUUUCUUAAACAUGGAUUCAAUAUUGUAUAUUGUGCACGAUUUCCUUUAUUACCAUGUGAAUACUGAAUUGUGAUUAGUCUUUAGCUGUUUUCUUUAUUUGCUUAUGAUUUCUUUAUAUUGAUGCUUUAUUCCUCGUGAAUGAUUCUACGUUAAAACGUGAUAUUUAUCUAUUAAAUAAUAUAAUAAUAAUUUAUAAAUUAUAAAAUUUAUCAUCAAAUAGAUGGUUGACAUAUAGCGAUUAAGACUAAAGUUAAAAACUUAAUUUUUUAGAUCUAUAUAACGUCAUUGUAUGUAUUCCUUUUAAAUUUGGGGACGUAACCCCUAUGCCACACAAUGGUUGCUAACCUCCUAAAAAAAUUGGGCGUAAAAAUAAACAUAGAAGAUAUUUUAAGAGAAAUGAAUGAGUCAAUUAUCUAACAAAUAAUAUUAAAGAGAGUAAAAAUAUCGUACUUAAUAAUUUAGCCUAUUUAGUUCUGACUACUAUAGUCGCAUUACGUUUCCCCGAUCUAUCGGGUUAAAAAAUUAAGCUUUGCAAUUACUUGGGACCAGGGGCAUUGUACAUUUGUAAGUUUCGGAGCUCUUGUAUGAUUUGCCUUCUUUCCAAAACUUUUGAAAUGGCCGUUAAACAGAACUGAACAAAACGUGUUGACGCAGCCAGAAAUUUUUCGUCAAUUACAAGGACCAGGUCAAUCUUUGAAAAAAUUCGCUCAUGGCUAAGAAAUUUUGAUAUUUCUUAGAAAUUGCUAGAAACAAGAACCUGCCUACCAUUAAAUCCACAAAUUCGUGUUGCUUCCAAGUUAGGGAAAAUUAUACAGAUCCCCUUACAGUUUGCCUUAAACACAUUACUGUCAAAGAAGUUUUAGGCCUUUUUUUUUCCCAUUGGGCUAUAUAGCUUGACUUUAAUUUUUUGGUAAAUUUUGUAAGACUGUAUGGUCAACUUAUUUUCUACUUGAGAAUAGCUCAACAGUCAACAGCUAGCCCGAAAUGCUCAUUGUGCCGAUGAUUUCCUGAAUUCAAAUAAUAAUAGGAGCCAAAGAUACCGAAAAAAUUAGAAUAAAAUUAUCAAAUACUAUAUAUAUAUGCAAAGAUAUUUUAUUUCUAAAUGUAUUAGGAAAAUGAUUGGUAAAAUCUGAAUCAUAUUAAUAAUUGAUGCAAGUGAAACAUUAAUUUUAAAAUAAUGAUAUGCAAACCUACCAAUGAACCCCUUGCCUCAUCCCUACUAAGAACAAAUAAAUAUUGAAAUAUUUUAUUGGAAAUCCUUAAAUUUUGAAUUAAUAUCAAAAUUGCCCUAAAAAUUUAUCCUAGUGGGGAUGAAGGUGGAAUAAUUAGUGUGCAUAUUAUUUUUCUUAAUUUUAAUGUCAAAACAAACAAAAGGGGCCAUUGGUAAAUCAAAAUACUUUAGUGGAUGUGUUUGAUCGAGAAAGACACUUUUUGCACUUUGAUGUAUUUAAAGCAAACCAUGGAGGGAUACAUAAAAGUUUCCGUGUAAACGUAGUAUUGCAGAGUGCUUGCAGUUCCUGUCACUUUCAUACUCCCCUUAAGAAACAUAAUCUCAGGCGAGAAGAUAUCAGAGUUAAAUUGCUAAGAGCCAAGUUUACGAUCGUGUAUAAAUAUUCUCUUUGAAAGUGUCCGAGAAAUGAUUUGAUCCAAAAUUUUAAGCUAAUAAGAUUUAAGGCUCUGGAAUAACACUAAAGGCAAGUCUCAGAAGUCUCAAGGGUCUCCCUCCAUGAAACGUAGACUAAGACAAGAUCUAAUAGCAUAUAUACAUGAGCCGAGAGAAAAGAGUUCGAAAGUGAACCAAAGAGCUUGCACGCAAGAGGGGGGUAAACACUAGAUCUUGGCACUAAUAUUAUGACAGAGAAAUUACUUGAUCCAAAGGCUUAAAAUGAUAUGCCAGAGACUAACAAUAAUAUUAAAAGCAAGUCUUAACAGAAAAAUAAGCUUAUAGUAUAAAAUACUGCACGUUUAGGUUUAAACAAAUGGAUAUAGCAGAGCAAUAUGUAACAAUCCAAUAAUGCUUAUUUCUUUUUAUUUUAGUAAUUGAGUUUUGUUACAAGAUAGAUUCUGAAACAGUUUUACACACACACACUACUCAACCUUGCUUAGCAAGGCAAUCAAACAUGACUUAUUAGGAAAAGAGAAAAUUGAAACAAAAUUAAGAUGAAGCAUGCAUGUCUCAUCAUCAUCGUCUGCUGCUUAUGAAGUUGCAGGGACCAAGCGUCUGGAGCAAAUUGUGCAGUAGAAUUUCUUCUUAACUUUAUGAGAGAUUGGAAGAAAACAAAAUCUCAAAUGGGCAUCAAAAUCUAUUGCCAGCACAGGCCCUCCACAGUAUGGGCAAGCUGCAUCAGCUCCAUUUCUCCUAAUCACCUUUUCUCGCAGAUCGAAUAUUGACAACACACUCAUUUUUCUCUUUUUGUUGGGGGACGUUGUUGUAAGCAAUGCUUGUUCUCAAUACAUUUAUUUAUGCACAUAAUACUUGAAUAUUUGGGCAUGCAACUUCUUUGGAGUUUCAUUUUUAAAGCUGUUUCUUAGCUGGGGCGCUAUUUUUUUUGUUUUUUUAGUUACAACUGUUAAAGAACUUGGUAUUUUGCUCGAACUGAUUGGUGAUGUUCACGUUUGGUGCGUUUAAAGCAAGAAAUGAAUCAAUUGAGAAGCUGCGAAGAAAUUGGUAUUGAAAGCAGCGAAGUUCGCUCCACGUCAAAAAAAUGGUGCUUGACUGUUUGACUUCUUGGACAUUUUAGCUGCGGUUUCUCACUGAGCCCGUGUUUUUAAUUACAAUAGAAGCUUUACACCCUGGAUUUUGAUGUAACUGAUGUAUUCAUUUGACGCACCGCACCAUAUUAUGUGAAAAGAAAGGAAUAAAAUCCUUUUUUUUAUCCGAAUAUUAUUGAAUUUUAAUGAUUUUUUAUUAUGUGUCUUUUAGUGAUAGUGUAUGGAUAAGAUUUAAUUUUUUUUUAUUUUUUUAUUUAUUAACAAUCAAUCAGUGAUUGAGUUAUUUACUCAUGACAUAAUCAGAUCAGAAGAAAAUCUUGAUCCGAAAAGAAAAUAGAUUAAAAUGUGCAACAUGUUUACAUGCUGCAUCACUUGGGAAGGUUGUAAGUUAUGAGCUCAUAAUUUGUGAUCCCCUUUGAGUCUAUUAGGAUUCUUUUCGGGUGGGCUUGGGCAGUACCAAAAGAAUGAGAUCCAAAGGGUGAAGGAGACAAUAUCUUGUUAGUGGAUCGGCCGUUACAUUAGAAUAGAUUGAGUUACAAGUGGGAUGAUGUUAUUCUUUUUUUUUAAUUAAUAUUAUUUAUUUUAGAAUUUCCCUUAUUGCACAAUAAAUAUUUUUUCUCCUCCCUCAGGAUCUCAAUAGACUAACUGACCACGUCUCACAUCUCUUUCUUUUCUUUUUCUUUUUUUUAAAUUGAUUCGCAAUUUGAAUGAAAUGUUAACUCACAGUCAAAUCCCCAACUAAAAUUAAACAAAAUCUUAUAAAAUCACAAGAAGUAAGGUCAAUAUCAUUAAUAACAACAAAAUCCAUCACUUGUUCAUAAAAUUUAAUAAAACUCAAUAUUGAAACUCGUCGUAUGUUGAUGGAUUUAUGUACCUGUUGUCGAUGAAGAUAGAUCGUAGAGGUGAUAAUUAUACUAGAGAGAGAGAGAAAGAGACGGGGUGGGGAAAGAGGGAAAAAAUAGAAUAAAAUAAUUAUUUUUUAAUUAAGAAUGAUUCAGAAAUAUUAUAAAAUAAAUUAAAAAGUGGUGGCCGGUAAGAUAGUUUGAGAAGAUCAAAUAUUAUUACUCUUAUCUCUUGACUUGCCAUUGCUCGGUCUUUUUUUUCUUUUUUCAAAAUGGACUUAUCGUUACAUUAGGAUAAAUUAAAGAGUCAGACCAUUGGCUCCUUCAUAAAAAGUCCUAAUAAAACACCUUUUUCAAAAGAACCACAUUAAUUAAACUAAAAGAAUUCAUUAUUUAUAACUAUACAUGCAUUCUUCCAAAAUUACCCUUAAUUUAAUCUCUUUAAAUUUGGCUUAUUUCUGUAUGAAUAUUUUUUUUUUGAAAUAAUUACUUCUUUAACAGAAAAAAAUUACAAGAGACCUACCAUUUUGGAAGGGCAUCCUCCAACAUUUGACCAAGGCCCCCACUGCUAUAAUAGCCAUCACCAUCAUCUUAUUUUGCGCCUGUAAAAGCUUUACAAUCAGCAAUUAAACCGUAUAAACAAACAGUUGAGGUUUCAUUUUCAAUAUCAUCCAUACGGAACAAGAUUCCCACAGCCUCAAAUACGAAUGGGGUUUUGGCCAAUUAGACUGAAUAGCUGCUGAGCAAAUAUGUAUAUAUAAACAUAAGGAUCAAAGUUGUGGUGUUGAAAAUGACCCAAGAUCCUUGCGUGUUCAUUAAAGGAUGCGUACUCGAAAGAGAUUGAAAUAGGGAUAGUUUUAGAAGAAGAUCAGUUUCCUCAUAAAUAAUGAAUUCUGUUUUAUCAGUUAAAGAGGUUCUUUCAUAAAGACGGUUUUAUCAGGACUUUAUUGGGGUGUUGUUAGUAGCUCAACCCUAAAUUGAAUUAAUGGGCUGGCAAACCUAAAAGGUAUUUGACUAAUCUCCUCAUGAAGCUCCAUUUUUAAUUAUAUUUAUUUUUUUUUUGAAAAUAAAUUUAAUUUUUAUUUAAUUUUUUUAUUGUUAAAACUUAAAAUAGUAUUAUAUUAUUUUUUUCAUUUCUUUUGUAAUCUUAUUGUUACUCGACAUACAAACUGAAAAGUUUUCUAGUUGAUGAAUUUUUGGAUGUUAAUUAUUAGCUUAAAUAGCACAUUUAUUUAGACUGUAGUUUGAAAGUAAUGUUAAGUACAAAAAUAUUUAAUUAAUAAGAAAGAGGAAAAGAAAAAUAAAUUAUUUUAAAUUUGUACAAUUUAUGUUAGUUACAUAUGAAGUAACAUCUAGAAAAAAAAAAAAAAAGCGAUUGAUCAUGAAUGUGAGUAUUUUGUUAAAAAAAAUAAAAAUCCAUGUGUGUUGACUUCUUAUUUGUUCUUAACUAUAAUUUUAUUUGAAGUAGGGUUUUAUAAGGAUAAUGAGGGGGUGCCAAUAGCUUCACUCAAUGGUAUUUAUCCUACUCAACUUAUUUCACUAGCCCCACUAUCUAAUUUGUUUCUAAACCUACCAUGUAUCAAAAAAUAAAUAUAGUAGAAUCUCAUUAAAUUAAUAAUUGAUAGAUUGAUAACCUUGAUUAAUAAUCUAAUUUGUUUUUUUUUAAAAAAAAUCUUAUCAAAUAAUUCAUAAAUUAAUAUUAACUAAUUUAAAACUAAAUGCAUAUUUAAUAUGUCUAUGAUUUUCUUUGUUGUACUAUUAUAAUGCUUUAUGCAUUUCAUUUGUCACUAUUGCUUUUUUUUUUUUUUAUACUUUUCAAAUAAAAAGUCAUUGUUGUAUUCUAUAUGCUACGUCAAGAGAAAUAAGAGAGAUGGCUUAAUAUAUUGCCUUCAAAUGUCUUCUUUGAUGAGUUACCAUGUAGUUGUGAUCUAACCAUACAAUCUCACCAAAAGAUUAUCACAGGACUAGUUCACUCAAUCAAGAACAAAUAAAAACUAUAUUAUAUAACUUGACGAAAUCACUACAUUCUCUAAUUAUACUACCUUUACACUUCAUAAAAACUCCAAUUAUGAAUUGUUAUUAUCUUUAUAAAUCAAUGGUUAUUAAUUUAUCAAUGUAUUAAUAUUUGCUAAAUUAAUAGAUUUUAAAUGAUCCUGUUAAUUUAUCAAGGUCAUACUAUCCUGUGCUUUAUAUAUAUAUAUUUUUUCUCAAGUAUCACCUGCUAUUUAUUUCCAUUGUGGAAGUUUCGGUAACAGUGGUGGAAGAAGGUGGUUGGAAUUUGUGAAACUGUUUUUGUGUUUUUUGUUUUAAUGAUAUUUUUAUUUUCCAAUAAAGAUAAUUAUAUAAAUAACUGCAGUUAAUUGAAAAGUGGGGAUUGAUAAGAAAAAUUAAGAGAUUUAGAUAGCACUGCUAUUUAAACAAAAAAAGAAAAGAAAAGAAAUUAAACAUAAAGAAGAAGUAAUUAACCAUCCCCGCUUUAAGUAUCCUUGAAUAUAUUUCGCAUAUUUCGGGUUAAGUAUUUUACUUCACGUGAAAGUGUGAUUGGGCUUGGACGGAAAUCCAAUUUUGACUUGACCAAUGUGCAUUUUAAAUGCAAAUUACCCCUCUAAUUAGAUAAGAAGUGCUUCAGUACGCUCUUCAAAACAAAUAAUACCAUAAGCAAUUAAUUCUAAGCGUAUAUCAAAUCCACGGAAGCAGUAAUUCGCUAUGAACAUUCCCAACAUAAUUAAUUGGCUUCAAGUGACAAGCAUAAAGCCAGAAUCAGUGAUCAUUCUCGGAUAUACAAGAAAAGAAUGCCAUGUAAUGUACUGAUAAACACAUAAAUGUCAUGAUGAGGGUACGUCUACGGGGUUGUGGGCUUCAAUAUCCACGUGCCGUAUGCCAGGAAGAGGUCCUGGAUCUCCUUCUCUAGUCUAUCAACUUCAGUUCCUAAAGCUGUACAACUUCCUCACUUGCACCAAGAACUCGAUGUUAAAACAUUCAAGCACAAUUCAAGAUAUAAAAACAAACUGCAUUCAUACCAUAGUUCGACAUGAUUUUAAGCAAGGCUGUGUCGUCCUUCUCCUUUGCAGCUUCAUGAAACUGUAAUCGGAGCCAGUCGGACAGAUAGAAAUAGUUAAUGAUAUUAACUUGUGAAGUAUGGCAUGUGUCAAUUCAACAAGGGAGUUGAAAGUAAAAUAUAUGCACGUAAUGAAUUUGUAAGCGUUAGGACUCACAAAGUUAAUAGUUACCAAAACAUUGGACUGUAUCAGUUUCUAAUAUGCAUGUGAUAAAUUUCAAAAUAAGAAUGUGAAGUAAUGUAAAGUAGAGACUAAGAUGAUUAACCUGUUUGGCCCAAGCUUCACGUCCGGUUCUCUUUAGAUAAUUCUGUACAACCAUCACUCCGUUGAAAUCUGUUUCAAUUCAGUCAAACAUCAUCGUAUCAUAUUAAUACACCGCUACUGCCAAAUUAAUUCACAUUAAUGAAACUAAAUUUCAUGAGUGGCAUAGCUGAAUAAUGCCUGCUUCUUUCCACUUUCAAUACAUGAUUAAAAUGAUUUCUUAUCAUUACACAAAGUUUGCAUCUAUGUAGGCAAUUAAUCAUCACAAAUAUAUGCUGUGUACUCCAUAUUAUCUAUAUGAAUUUACAAAUGCCAAAGCAUCUCAUAUGGAUUGUAAACUAAGAAUAUUAUCAGAGAAAUUCACACCUCUUUACAGAAACAACAAGCUACUACUCUUGCAAAGAUUUCUACAAAAAUGUAGAUGCCAAAUGUAACAGAGACGACAUGUUGUUGACAAUAAUCAGAUAUUGAUGUUGACAGAAAUUAACUCUCUGACAAAUCGGCAAAAGUACGAGCUAACACAGGGAAGAUUGGAAACUUUGACGGAUAUAUUGAUUUUAGAAGGAAAUUCAGGAAACGAAGUUCCAAGAAAAAUAAAAUUGCGGUAGGACAUGGCAAGAAAAAUCACCUAUCUCCGCCUUGAAUCUAAAGAAUCCCGGUCCAAUCACCUCGCUUUUGCAAUCAUAUAGAGCAUCUACAACCUGCCAAAAUUUUAGAUUUUCAAACAUGGGAACAAUGCACAGAACAAAUGUAGUCAUAGACUUAUCUUACAUGAACAUACCGGAUCAUUUUUCAAGAAAUGGAGAAUCUUCUCCAUAUCAUGGUCAUCCAUAGCCCUACCAAUCAAAGCAUGACGAUUCCUUUGUAUUAGAAAUAUAGCCACCUGCACAGGAGAUACAGUUCAUUACCUAUAACAAUAGUGAAAGUUUUAUUAGUUGUUCUCUUGUCAAUAUCAUAUACUAAACAGCGAUAAGAACAGUAAAAUCUGAUGACAGUUCCAAGAUAAGCCUGACCAUCAGAUAUUAUUGAUAAAAGAACAGUAAUUUCUGCAUGGCCAAUUCAUUAUUGUGCAGCAAGCAAUCUUGCUUUUGCCACUAUUCCUCCUCUUCUACUCUUAACUAAUAAUACAAAACAAGCCAUUUUCAUAUUUUCAUACUCAAAAUUUCUAAUUUUAAUAGCCAUUGAGGCUUAAAUUUACAAUUAAACAGAUUCCUUCAACCAUCUCUUUUAAUCACACUUAUCACUUUCUGUAACAAUCUUAUUUACCAUUUUUGGGAGCCUAUCCCCAAAUUCAAAUAAUCAGUAAAUGUAUAAAUUCCAUAUUCAUACAGAUAAUUUUUUUUUUCAAAAAUGCAUUUUAUAUUUUAAAGUUUUUUCUUUCCAGUUACCAUGCAGCCACCCGAUCUCACAGUAAAUUAAACUAAAUACCUCUCCAAAGUUGGUGUGAGUAGGAUUCAAACUUUUCACCACUUAAUUUCACUAACAGGCCACGAGGCCAAACUAGCUGGAGUGUUCCCUUGAGGACUUCGUACAGAUCUAUUCAUGAGAUCAAUAAAAACUCAAAACAUAAAUGAGCAGUAGAAAAAUCAAUUGAGAAACAAGGAUCCUGUUUCAGUAAGAUUUGAACUUAAAAGCAACCCAAGCUGCCAAUCUUUCUGUAGCUUGAAGAAGCACGGCUGAAUGGUGAGGUACCAUAUGACAAAGCAUACACAAGUCAUCAUAUAGCAUUCUCUAUUUUUGAGUUGUCAAUUCUUUGAAAUUGGGUACCUAUUUAAAGCUUGGAAGAAGUUGGUUGCCACUUAACAAAAGAACCCUUUCCUUUAAGGGUCGAUAAUACAUUUUCAGAAAGGUCCAAGAUGUCUCAGCUGAUGCCAUUUUCUCAUUGAUUUCUGAGUGACAGAACUAUAAUGCAUGUCUCAGAGAACCAAUUACUUUUAGAAAGUGCCUUUUCCUUGCUCCAAAUGGUAAAAUAAGAGCACAUUAGAAGUUCACAUGAUACAAUAAAACUUCUCUAUAGUAAUACUCUGUAUAAGAAUAACCUUCAUAUAGUUAUAAAAAAUUCUUAUCCCGAUUUGGGCCAAUUAUAAAAAAAAAUAAAGUCCACAUUGUAAUAAGUUACAAUUUUAUCCUAUUCUAAGGAAAUUACCUCUAUAUAGUAAUAAUUAACUGCAUAUUGUAAAAAUAUAUAUACUAUACAACAUUAGAGGUUUUAGAUGGAAUAAAAAAAAAAAAAACUUUCUAAAGUUGUUAAGGGCAAUAUUUAUUUAGAUUCUUAAGAUUAUUUUUCAUAUUUCCCAACAUUACAGAAAUUUUAUGUACUAGUAUUUUGAAAUUAUGUCUCCCUCUUUUAUCAAAGUCUAUAAAUCGGAUUUGACAUGCCCAUUAACUAUAUUAUCAAUAUAGUGUGUGUUUUACCUCUAUAUCAGUGGCGGAUCUAGAAAAAUAAUUUACCGGGGGCUAAAUUAGAUAAUAGUAAAAUAUGAAAAACUAAAAUUUUGAACAUAUAAAAUAUUUGCUAAUACAUUUAUAAUUAUUCUCUACGCAUUUUCAUAUUUUAAAAUGUUAUACGAUAGACUCAUUAUCAAUAUUAUUAAAUUUAUUGUUUCCUGUAUAAAUAACCAAACUAUCAUUUAUCCCAUAUGAUUCCAAAGAUGAUUUUUCAUGAGUUUCAUUCCUGAAAACGUUCGCUCCAGUAUUAUUAUAGAGACUGGAAGAAUUAAUCAUAUUUUUUAGAAUAGAAAAUAUUUUGAGUGGUGGGCUAUUAUUAUUUUUAAUUAAAAUAUAAGUUUUUAUAAUUCUUAAAAGUUAAAUUUUAAAUUUUAUGGGGGUUUAUAAUUUAUAGUGAUUAUUUUAAUAAAUUUUUUAUGGGAGCUAAUUAAAAAACUAAAUUAUUUUUCUUUUUUAAUUUUAAAAAAAAAAAUUUUUUGCCAGUGGGGGCUUGAGCCCCCAUUGGUCACAUGCUAGAUCCGCCCCUGUACCCCCCAUUGGUCACAUGCUAGAUCCGCCCCUGUAUAUCACUUACACUAAGGAUAAAUGAGUCAAAAUAAUAAUUUUUGUAACUACACCUCUGUUAAGUUAUAACCUCAUAGUAAUAAAUUAGUUUGGUCCCAACAUUGCGACUACAAAGAGCUUUUACCGUACUAUCAUGUGGAGAUUUCCAACCUCAGGACUUUCUAAUGCAUGUAUAAGUGAAUUUAUUAUUUUGGAAAAAAAAUACCAUUCCAAGAAGGUUUCCAACUAUAAUUGAACCAAUUGGGUCAUAAAUUGCAUUUCCUGUGACAUUAACUGCAAUCAAUGAUGCUCCAGCUAUAACAAGGCCGGUAACUGCAGCACCAUCCUGCAUAACAGAAAUCAUUUAUUAGGGGUCCCAGACAAGGAGAAUAGUUGCAAUGUAUAUAUAGUAUCAGACAUAACUAGAGAACAAAUUAUCAGCAAUCAACCAAAAUAUAUAUUUUUAAUUUGAAUUGCAAAAUGUAGUUAAUUGCAGUAAAGAUGAUUAGGGACAUACACGGCUAUACAAAGAUUCACAAACAAUGUGCACACACAUGGUAGAAGGAUGAAUUGUGUACAAUUGCUUAUCUAAACUAACAGUGAAGAAUACACAAUAAAUACCUCUGUCAUAACAGCAACAGAUGUAGGGUCAUGACCACGCCAGAUAUAGUCUCUUAUUGUCAUACCUUCUGCAGCUGCUCCUUUCUUGACAGCUUGUAUCGCAACAAGAAGAGAAGCACCUGUAGGAAAGUAUAAUGAACUUAAAUCAAGAAAAGACGAAGAUCAAAAGGUUAAAACUAGCCUCUUCAGACCAUGUUGUUAACCUAAAAUCACAGUCUGUGAGCUAUACCUUCAAUGAUAAAUGAACCACAAAUCACCAAAGCUGCAUAUUUCAUAUUUUCAGGAGCCUGUAGAAAAAACACGCAAAACUAUAUAAAUAUGCGUAUGUUAAGGUAACACAGAAUAUUUAGAAUUUUGGAUGACAUAAUUUGUUUCAUUACCUCUGCAGUCCACAAGUGUUGAAUUCCAUUGACAAUUGUAGCACCAGAACCAAGACAAAAGAUCCCGACAGCUGAUAUCAAAGACCAAACAAAUCGUUCCUUGGAAUAGCCAUAACUGUACAAUUGGGGGAAAAAAUAAAUAAAUCAAUUCAGUGCAUUCUUAUAACAAAAAUAACACCUACGUCUUCACUCUAAACAUGAAUGAAAAUUUCUGUCUCCAUUGAGUAAAGUUUAAAAAAUAGAAAGCACUAGUGUCCUUUGGCUAACGUACUCAAAAAUAAAAAAUAAAAAAUGCAAAACAUAUGUAGCCUGAAAUCUAGAAACAAAUUUAUACAUGAGAUGAAGUGCUGAAAGAUUGAAAAACAAGGAAAAUGCAGGCGAUUUAUUGUUAAUGAUGAUGGCUUAUGAUGUAGAAAACUUACGGAUGAAGAGCAUCAGGAGCACGCCUGGAGCUACUCAGACCAUAAGCUAGAAGCACCUGCAAUUUUAAUAAGAAUUAUUUUCUCUGCAAUGAGUAAUAUAUGAGUUGAUUUAAUUUGAAGGAAGAAAGAAAACAAGUGCAUCUGCUAGCCUCGUUCCGAAGAACCUUCAAGAUAAGUACCUGAUUAGCAAAGUCCGCAACCGAAUGCACAACUUCAGCCAGCAUAACAUGGCUAGAGGUCCCUAGCCAGACCCCAAACUUGAGAGAGAAGACAAGGAAAUUUCCCCACAAUGCAGUCGUAACCGCUCUUUGACUACAUACAGAUUUGAGGAGAUGAUAAUAGCAAGAAACAAAUCAGAUAAGUUUUAAGGAAAAAAUGGCAGUAAAAUAUAAUACAGGAUAGCAAAAGAGAAGCACCAGCCAUCUUACGUAUACAACCAGAUCAGAUUGAUCAUAACCAUGUUCAAUGUUAGUAAUUUAUUUCUUCUUGCAAUUAUUAGGGUGGUCUUUUUUCCGGUUAGUUUCUUUAAAUAAAUAUAUCAUUUCAAUCGGUCAUUGUCUGGUAGAAAAACAAUACCAAAGAUUAAAUUAUAGUUUAAGUUCUCAACUAAACCUGUUUAUUCUCUUGUCACAUAUUUCCCAGUAACAUAACAAACACAGGAAUACUUACAAACAACCAAAUUUACUCUAAUAGUAUUUGAACCAUGAUGUUCUAUGGCAUAACAAGAUUAAACAGUGCUGCAUAAAAAAGACAUGGACUAAGCAUCAGCAUCCAUAGAAAUUGACAUUAUCAACACUUGUUGGUUUGUAGCACAGGUUCCAAUUCUUGUCAGAAUGCAUGCAUCUAAAAUCAGUUGGCUAAAGAUUAAUCAGAAAACUAAACAAUAGGAGGAUCCCAAUCCCUUCUUUUCCCAUGCUAGAGUUGUAAAAGAUUCAUUUUUCAAGUCCUAUUCAACUAUAAAAAUGCCCACCAGAUGCAUUUUCCAAGUCUCAUUCAACUAUAAAAAUGCCCGCCUUUUACCAAAUUAGGAAUGAAAUCGGGCUCUAUCAAAUGCCUCGUUCUUCAAGAUACUAUUUGAUUGGAAAAAUUCCUCAAAUACACGUUUCCUACAGUUCUACCAGCAUUUUUAUUGUGAAGAAUACCGUCAUUAACAAAGACACUUUGUACUGUUCCUAUUGCAGAAUGCAUCCAUGAAGAGAACUUUUUCUUUCUUUAGACGAAUACCACUUUUACAAGGUUGUUUACACAGUAAUGUGCUGAAUGAUUCGCAUCUAUAAUGUUAGUUGUCACAACAUUCUAUCUAGAUGAUUGCCACAAAUCAAUUGCCAAUUGAUAAAAAGGCCAAGAGAAAAGUAGUUUAUCAGACUCCUUUUUCCAAAUUAACAAAUGUGCCUAUUACUCUUAUCUCCCUCCUUUUUUUCUCUUCAUAUUUGAACGUUAAACAUUAUCAUGCUUCGAGAAUUUCAUUUCCAAAAGGAAAAAGUUAAAAAAAAAAAACUUAUCAUCACUCAUUUCAACUACAUUACCAUGAUCAUACUUGCUUCCCAAUUAUAACCAAUUAGCGCACUUCAUAAACUCGAGUGCUACUAAUGCCACCAGAACAUUGAAACACACUGGACCUUAAAUAUCAUUCUACAACCUUCUACCUAUCAACGUGGACUUUUGAAAGAGUGGGAAAUCAAGUAUCUCGUAACACCCAAUACUAUGGCCAAAUUAUAAAUUUAUGCCCGUAUUCACAAAAAUGGAAAAUAUAUGCUCGAAGAAAAGAAACAACACAUUUAGGCGACAGCUUCAAAAAUUUUACCUGUGUUCAUCUGUAGUCUCAAUCUUCUUCACCUGCUUUGCCCUCGUAAAAAAAUCUAUAAUAAUUAAAAAAAAAGCACACAUACACACACACACACACACAAAGUUAGACCCCAAUUCACAUUUAAAUCCCAAAAUAAAACAAACAGGCAAAAACAAAAUACUUACUGCGAUUAGAGGAGUACUUAUGAUGUUGAUUACUACCGCUAUUGUCAAAAGAAACCAAACCCAGUAACACGAAACGUUUCGAGCAAUGAACCGAGCAAAAACCUCGAAACUGAUUAGUAUGCUCUAAAAUGCUAAAGAAUUUUCCAUUGUUAUCAUUUAUAAAUACAUUAAAGGGAGAAGAAGGGUUUAAAACGGCAGUGCGUUUAGAGGAAUGGAGAAGGCGAGAGAGGAAACGCCAAGAUGUUCGCAUCAAAUCUAAAUCUUUUCUUUCUUUUUCUUUUUUUUUUGGCUUAAUUAAGAGAAAUUCUGAUAUUGUUCUAAAUUCCCCCAAAAUGUUCGAGAUGUUAAGUACCCACAUUCAUAUCGAGGGUUGAAAUGGAGUUGGUAUAAAGAAAGCUCAAAUAUGAAAGGGAUUCUUGACGUGAUAGCAGCAGCAGCAGCAUAUUCCGUCUUCUAAAGAAGAAAAGAAGGUGACUGUCUGCGACUGAUUAUUGGGAAUGAGAAAGUAAAGCAGGGACAGUGGCAACGGGUAGUGGAAAGCAAAAAUUUAGCCCAAGUAAUUUUUGUAGCCCAAAUAGCCAAUUCACUUUUUUGGACUACGGGCUAAAUAAAAUUUACCCAAAUUAUAUAUAUUUUCUAAAUUUAUGUAAGAUUUUAAUAGAAUAUAAACAAGUUUUCUAAUCUCAAUAUUUAAUUAAUUAGGGUCAUUAAUCCAUAGAUUUCUUCAACUCCAAGUAAGAAGUACUUGUGCCUUUUAGGCUUUUAGCUCAAUUCUUCAUAAUCGCUAGUAGGGACUAAAAUAUUAAAUUAUAAUCCUCGGAAGCUUAGGAUGGAUAAACCAAAUAGUACUCUUCUCAACCGGUAGCAAACUAACCCUAAUUAAAUCACAUUUUAAUUUAUCUGAGGUAAUACAAUUGUCUGGUAGGAAUUUAUGACGUGCGGUUUCGUUUUAAAACAACUACCUAAUUGUUUGUCAUUUUUACAAACUAAAUACACACAUGAAUGAGGUGACAUAUAAGAUAUCCAAUAAAAAAUUUAUAGUUCUUUUACAAAAUAAUAAUAAUAAUAAUAAUAAUAAUAAUAAAAGUAAUUAUUAAGAGUGGUGAUUUUGACCUCCUCAAUUUAUCUCAUCAGUCCUCAUUUUUCAAUUAAUAUUAUUUAUUUCAUAAUUGGCCUUGCUAAAUAAAUAAAUAUUAUUUCUUCUCUCAAGUUCUCAAUUGAUUCACAAUUUGAAUCAAAUGCUAACUCAUAAUCAAAUCCCAAAUAAAAAAUUAAACAAAAUCUUAAAUUUCUAUAAGAAAUCAAAACCAAUAUUAGUAAUAAUAACAAAACAUACCACUUAUUCAUAAAAUUUAAUAAAACCCAAUGAUGAAACUCAUUGUAUACUAGUAAAGGUGAUGUAUUAAUAGUGAAGAAGAUAGGUGGUGAUGGCAACUUCUUGUUGAUCAAGUGUUGGGGGUGAUGGACCGAUGGUUAUGCACUUAUACUAGAGAAGGACGGGGUUUGGGGGGAGGUAGAGAGAGAAUAAAAUAAAAUAAUAACUUUGAUUUAUUAAGGAUAAUUUUGAAAAGUAAUAAGAUAAAUUGAAAAGUGAAAGUUAAUCAGAUAAUUUGAAACACUCAAAUAUAUUCACUUGAUAUUAAUAACUUUCUCAAAAUAAAGGAUGGUAGAAAAAUUCAGUCCAAACUUUAGUGUUUCGGGCCGGAUUUGGCCCCACAACUCGAGCAAGUUUUCUUAACACUAGAUUCGAGCUUGAACUUUACCUAAAAAACCCAACCACGGCCCGAAGGCCGAAGAAAUUCUUAAAAAAAUAUUUUAAUUACAAUACACCUUUUAAAAUAUAUUUAACCCAUCCAUAUAGCAUAUAUUUUAAGUACUUUAAUCCCAAUUUUUAAAACCUAAUCUAACCGCUGCCUAUAUUACGAGGCAACCUGCACUAGUUGACUGAUGGGUUAACCAGUUACCACAUCAUGUGUUCUUACAAAAUUAGUCAACCAAUAUGGUCCUAUCAUUUAACCAACAGCUUGUAAACAUGUGAGAUUAGCGAAAUAUGAAAUAAAAGCUAACGCCAAAAUCAUCACCAAUGAUUAUGCAAUGGGGAGAGAAUCCUGAAUGUUUUAAAAAUCAGAGCAUUUCAAAGGUUCUUUUAUUUUCUAUUGCCUUUAAAAAGGCAACCACUUUGAGAUGCGUCCAUCGGUCCAUGUGGCUCAGGAAGAAGGAUAUGUCCUGCGAUAUCAUUUGCUAGCGCAAGUAUCGAGCUUGUCCCUGCUCAUUUGUUUCAUUUCCAGGCGAGAUUGAACCUGAAGAGCUUGAUAUGAUAGCGAUUAGCGAACAACGGGGGGACCAAAAAUCUGCUUGCUAUUGCUACGCCUCGCAAUAUCAGUAAUAAGACCGAUGAUAAACUUUACAACACUGCAUUAUCAGAAAACUAGAAUGGUAAACCAUGUAUCAUUAAUUCAAGCUUUAGCAGUGACUUGCAAGGAAGUGAUGAAAAAGCUCAAGGCAUCUCAAAUAUUCUUAACAAAAAGUUACAGAUUGGUAUCACCUCGCUGUUUAAUAACAGGUUGGGUCAGAACUCAAAACCCAUAUUCCUGUGAAAUAAUAAUAACAGAUGGCAAUAUCUAUAUACUCUAUGCUACAUAUCAAUCACCUUAAGUUCUAUUCAACAUUUUUAUCAUAGGGUACAACAUUUCCUAUCAGCUGAAGCAGAGAGAAUCUGUUAAAGUCGCAUUGUUUGCCGAAAAGGGAACAGCAGAAUUCAUCAGGCUCUGGAUCUGAUUUCGAGUACACCAACUUUCUAACUCUCUCUGGCUCUUCAUCUGAUUAGAGCCUGGAAUUAUCAAAUUUGUUCAACCAAAAAUAGAUAACAGCUAAUGAAUCCUGAUAUCAUCAAUGAAUCGACCUCCCUUUCUACCACGUAACCUGAUAUUUGGUCUAUGAUGGCCAUCCGAUCUCCCAGAGAUCUCUCCAUCACGUUGGGUCACAAUUUUUAAUGGGUGGGCUUCUGUAUUGAAAACCCACUCAUCUAAUGAGAUUACUGUUGUGGGAGAGAAAAGAAGAUACAGAUAUUUCAGUGUCUCUGCAAGAAAGAAGCUUUGCAUCAUGUUGUCUUUGUCGCCAGUAUUAACCUGAGAAAACACAACAAUCAUUCGUAAAUAAAUAAGAGCACAUUAGCAGUAUAAAUAAGAGCAUAUUAACAAAUCCACCGGAAAGGAUAGACAUGCAGAAGAAAUAGAAAAAUAUAUAACAGAAGACCGAAUAACCAAAACAUUUAAAAACAUUUUCACCGUUUUUUACCAAAUGUCGGCUCAUAAAUGACCGUAUAGAUUGUCCCAAGAUUUAGCUAAAAAUCUGCCAAUGGAAAUUGCUUUUGUGUAUAGUUAGCAGACUAUGCUCACUAAUGCAAACAACUAUUUAAAACAAAAGAUCAAACAUUCUUUACUACGGAGGUUUAACAGUCAAAGAUACUAAGAAGCGCAUUUUCUAAAAAAGCAUCCCCAAGUUUCGUAUCACGUCAGCUUUUUGAUGAAAACAUACUGAAGCAUACAGAAUAUUUAUAGAAAAAGAUCUUAUUUAAUGUUGGAGGUUUGAGGUGUCCUUACAUCUUUCAGUCCAACAUAUCCUGAUUCUAUUCGGGAGUUCUUUUCGAAUGCCUGAAAUAUGUUCCAACCCCACUCUUUGUAUGUCUUGUUGCCAGUUAGACGCCACAAGUAAAAAAGUGAUUCAACAGUCUCAGGUCUCAGUAUGUUCCAUGAUGUGCCCACAGACAUGUCCUGAAAAUGUAACAAAUGAACACUGGUAAACAGCAGUACCUUAAAAAUUGAAAAUUCAUUUGAUAAUACAAAAACUGCAAACCUGCCCAUCACGAAAGAAGUAAUUCUCUCCAGCCAAUUUUGUCGGUGUUGACUGGUAGAAGUUAUAACAUGUCCAAGCAAGCUGCAAAAAAAGACAGAAACAUCCAGUGAAAAACCCAUCUCACAUCAUCCUUGGUUUUGAUAUGGGAAAGAAGGACCAUACACUAGAAGCUAAUGAAUGGUUAGGUCAGCAAUCCAAAUUAAAUUAUAUUUCAAAUUAAAAAUUUUGGUUCUGGUUUAUUCCUUUAAGUACUGGCCUACUAGGAAAAGAAAAGAUUAACCAAAUAUGAGAUUCAUACAAAACCAUCUCGGUCUUAUACCCCAAACAAAUCAGAUCAUCUCCCAACUUCCAUAUGUAUCUGGUAAAUCAUUCAAUCAGAGAUUUGUUAAUAUUUUUCUCUUUCCUCCCCAACCCAAAUUAAAAAUCUCUCCUUGGAAUUGAACACUUGACCUUUUGCUUCCAAUGUAAGAGGCCAAACCAAUCGGCAAUAAGAGACAUACACCAACAGACACACAUAUUUUAUGUCCUUCUAUCAUUUUUUUAUUAAGAAACAGAAACUUGAAUUAUAUUCUAAACAAUGUGAGGUUUACAAAAAAGUGAACAAGCAGUCAAAAAAACCAGGAUCAGCCUGGCAGAACCUCAAAAUCUAUUUACAAAGAACCUUUCCACUCAAGCCAAAGAUAAAACACUCUUGACUGUAAAAAUCAAGACGAUAUUCGACUUAGCCCAAUACACUUCCCAAUUUGAACUUAUGUAAAAGAAAAACGGGUCCUAAAAUUCUUGUCUCUGAUGCCCAAAGAAAAAAGCACCCUAAAUUCUUGCCUUAUCCCAUAAAACAGUUAACCAUCUUCCCCAGCCAAGCUUUCAAAAUCACCCUUUUUCCCCCCGUGUUUGUAGAAAUUCCUUUGACUUCAAUAACCUAUCAGUCUUAGUAGAUAAUUUGGUACCCCAGAUGCUUCUUCCAAACAAAAUUCAGGUAUAUAUUAUCAAAACUUCAUUCAAUUUCGAAAAUCUUUCCCAGAGCUUUCAAAAAUUUGUCCAUUUCUUUCUUGAAAUUCCUUUGAAAUGUUUAACAACCUAUCAGUUUCAAAGUCACGGGUAAUUUGGUAAUCCAGAUGAUUCUUGCCAAACAAAAUUCACAUAUAUGUGAUCGAAACUUCAUUCAAUUUCAAAAAUCAUGUCAUUCGGUAACUUAAAACGGUACCUUAAAAUUGGAGGUGAAGACAUUGCAUUAUUCAUCACAACGUAUAUGAGUUCACAAAACAAUGUUCUUUUUUCUUGUUCUUGCACAAAAUUUGGGUAUUAAUAUAUUUUCCGAAGUGAGACAGAAGGAAUACCUCUUCUGCAAGAGAGAGAAAUUUCUCAGAGUCACCGGGUCCAUAACCAGAAGAUCCUAAAGCAAUCAUUCCAGGAGCGAAGCAUGCUAAUUCAUCCAUCUGCAUAGGCAUGGUGUCAAAAUAGCCAUCAAUAUCUAGCAAUUACUAAUGCAUCCCUACAGUAGUGUAACUGAGUAUUACCUUGUCUAUCAGCGAGUCCCCAUUCUUCUCACAAAUGUAUGUAAAAGACGAUGGUGUUGAUCUCCUAACCAAGCUUAAUAGACCUUUCAUUGAUGUCUCCCACAUGUCCCUGCUUGAAAGAUUCCACAACAAAACUUUGACAUCAAGAAAUUUAUGAGCACAGACACCUGGAUACUACAGAGAGAAAAAGGUUGAGUCUUGACCAGAGCACGAUUGCAGACACUUUAAAUAUUAAAACAUGAUAUCCAUCCUGCAUUAGUUGUCAUUUGUUCUUUUUCUUUUUUUCAGUCCCAGUAAUUUUCCACACUGAAAUGUGAAUUCUACCAGACUCAUUAUCCUAAACAUGUACCAUUGUAAAGAUUUUUUUUUUUUAAUAUUUCAGAAUUAGAAAGUGGGAGCUACUAUUGGAAAAAUAAAAGUAUAUUGUAAUGCAUUUGUAACUGACUCCUUAAUUUGUUGGCUUUAUCUGAGAAGACAGCUAAAGUGUAUGGAGCUGAAUAUAUAUUCCUUUUCACCAAAAUCCCAGUGAAAAUAGAAUCAUUUAACAUUUAAUCACAUUGACCAGUCCAGCCCCCACCACAUCUAAAUUUUACAGUAGCAUGUUUGUCUUUGGCUUUCACAUAAGAAAAUAAACUGCAAACAGCAAGCAGCAGUGGUUGAGUGGUUGCAGAUCCGAAUGCAGAUACAUAUGAGAACAAAAUCUCCUCACCUAUAAGGCUUCACUGCUGAAGUUUUAUUCCCUUGAAUCCAAACUUUGAGUAAAUAUUCAUAAAAGCUGCAAUAAAAUUUCAUUGUUAACCAAAAACUCUUAACAAUCUUGCAAAAUUAUACUCCUUUACUGACCUUAAGAAGUUAAACUAGAAAGUAAAAGAGGUUAAAUCAUAGAUGAUGAAAUGUUAAACCCAAGUAAGAUCACAUAAGUGAUAGUAAAUGUUCAAGCGGUGAAUACCUAUCACCCAUGGCACCAAAGGUUAUGGUCGAGUAUGAUGGAGUUCCCCUGUCAGGACUAAUAUAGAUGGGAAGCAGGCCAUCAGCAGGGAAUGUUUUAUUAAGCUCCACUAUUACUUUCUCAGCCUGAAACAUCAGUUUGCAACCAUCAACAGGAUCCAUUCACCCGAACAAAUCAUUCUUCAGAAAGAGAAGUGAACUAUUGACUGAUUACUCCCUGAACACUUUUGGUCUUCAAACUAACCUCUUAGUGCAUACGAAUAUGAAUAAUUAGCACUAAUUUGUAAGAUGUCAAACAUUAAGUGGCAAGUUCAAACACAAGAAUGAUGAACAACAUAUUUCCACAUGCAUAAACACAAGAAGAACAUACCCUCUGCCGAUACUUUGGGUCACCCGUCCUUUGUGAAAGAGCAAUCAAUUCUAGUUGUUCUGUACCAGAAUCUGCCAGAAUGCUCUCACCCUAUGAAAUGGGAAAUGACAGGAGCAAUCAAAUCAAAUAUACAUUCGUGAACAAAUGUGCGGGACAAAAGACCCAGCACAGCUCAGUAAGACACACAUGAGCUAUCACAAAAGAUAAAACAAUCUACUAAGAGACUAGUGUAAACUAUGUUAUGCAUGAUAAUGGAACAGGUUUACAACAAGAGUCUGGCAUUUACUUUUAGCAGUUAACUGUCAAAGAAACAGAAAAUGCUGAAAGAAUAGAUGGAAGAAACUUUUUGAAGAAAGACAGAAAGCUGUAAACUUGUGAAGAACCACAUUUAUUUUAAGCCAACCAAAUACCUACUGAUCUAACAGCAGGCCAGGAGCUUCCCAAGUGACCUUAAUGAAAUUUUUGCUGGGAUAAAGGGAAACGUAAAUAAAAAGAGCAUAAUCAACUUAAAGGAUGCCAUGAAAUGUGAUGAAUCAAGUUUAAAUAGUACAAAUAAAGUGAACGCUAGAAAUUAAAGCUAACAACUUACCCCUGUCCAUGAAGGGUUAUGUGGAUUUCCAUGUGCUAAGUUAAUAACAUUAUAGGGAAUUCCAGUGCGAGUAUUCCAUGCUGGCAACAAUCUAUCUGCAAUAUCUCUAGCUUUUUCGAGAAAAACUUUGUCUCCUGAAAGGUCAUAUGCACUAAGAAGUCCACCUACAACUCUGAAAUAUCAAAAAAGAAACAAGUCAGCAAAGGAACAUUACUUGUCCUUUCCCCAAGCAAUUAUAAAGAAAAGAAAACAGCGAUUGCCACUGACACUUGUUUCACAAAAUAAAAUCAACCAUGAAUUAAACCUGAUAACGCAACCUUAUGGUUGUCUCGAAAACACUAGCAUCAUAUGACUUGUUGAAAUCCAACGAGUUCGCAAUCCACCUGCAAAAGAAUGGCAUUAAAAAAAUUAGAUAAGUGAGACUCAAAAUCUUGUGCUAAAGAGUGUGGAGGUUUUGAGUCCUCUUCAAGGCAUAAAUUGAGAAUGCUCAUUCAAAUAUCACCAACCAUUGGUAUCUGGGAGACACAUUUAAUACUACAUAGACAUUAAGAGAUGAUGAAAAAACAGGGAGAAUUAUGCAUGGAGAAAGUGAGGGCAAAAAGAGAAGGAAAGAAAAGUGCCAGUAGGUCAAAUGAGGUUUGGAGUCAUGACACAAACUACAAAGCUAGAAAUACAAUAUAGGAAACACAUGAAGAAUAAUAGCUUCAAGCAUUAUGUACAACUUUUGAAAAUCAAACGCAUCCAAAAAACUUGCAAAAACAACCAGGAGUAUGCAACAGCUAGGAGAACAUCUCAACUGGAUAACAAGAAACUACUGUCCUGUGAAAAAAUCGGGACAAAGUUCGAUUAAUUGGCUGGAUAAAUCACAAACAGAGCAAUGAUAUGUUAAAUAAACCAUUAACUCCUCAGAAGUGACUCAUAUAAGGCUGAGAGAAUUGUAGAACAUACCCAGGUUCAAAGGGACUCUAAUUUCAAAAUUGAGGCCACAUAAUGAAGUCAAUCAACUCAUUCGCACACACUAAUUUUAAAAGUAUGAUAGAUGCUUUGCUCAAGAAACUAUCUUGAAUGGUCACUUAACCAGGGCAAUAGUAAGAGAAUAGACAGACUUUUUGCAAAUUAAAUUGCAUGGAAUUCAACUUUCCUAAUGUAUAUAUCCUGAUCUCCAAUGAAUAAAAUAAGUUCAUAAGGAAAUAAGCAAUUUCAAAAUUGUUAGCCUAUUUCCUGUUUUUAAGUUGCAAUAGCUGCACUUAUUUAAUAAGGCAGUGUUUUUAGAGGUGAAGCAGUUACUACUUUGCUGAAUAAAUGGUCUAUAUUGUGCCAAUCAGUAAAUAAGUAGAAUUUAAGCCUUCAAUAAUUUAUCUGUUUUGAAAAGGAGCAGGCAAGAUCCAUUUUAAUAAGCCAUUUUAGAACAUAACUUUAAAAGCUUUAGACAAAACACUUUAUGUCCAAGGUUUUGCAAGAAUUGGAAUGAUGCAAUAGAAACAUCAAAGGGAAAUAGGAACAAAUCAAUUUAAAGUGAAAGAGAGAAUCAACGAAAGGAAACUCACUCUCUAGCUCUUUGAAAUUGUUCAUCCAGACCCAUUAUGUAUAAUGUAUCGAGAGCAUCAAUUAGUGUUGCUCCAAGACCACCAAAGCUGUUGACCCCAUUCUUAGUCUGUGGCUGUUAACAAAAAUAAUUGGAGAAAUGAAAAGGUAAAAUUAGCAUGUUACUUCUAAGGCCAUGUAAAUAAAAUUCAUAUUGUAUGUCUAUGGAAACUAAAUUCAAACUUUUAAACAAUAAGCUAAGAGUUUGUCGACAAAUGAUAGCUGGCAAGUUCAGGAAUUGAUGCAGAACUCAUCUUCACAUUGGAUUUCAUUAUAAAGGAAGCAUGUACAACCAAAACUGAAAAAACCUAGUUUAUAAAGCAUUGGUGGUUUUCAAAUUGAAACAUUUUCCCUAAGCCUUUCCACGAUCCAGGCAGCACAAGAAAAAGUCCAAACAAUGCUUGUCAAGAUUUACAGUUAACCAUGUACUUAGAAGGAUCCAGCCAAAAAAAAAAAAAUCACCCCCUUUUUCCAAGCAGGAGAACAUAACUGUUAUUUUAAAAACAAAAUAAAAGAGAGAGAGAGAGUAAAGAAGAGAGAGAAUAAAACUAGUCCAGUAAUUCAGUGACAACAAUAUAUAUGAUGUAUCAAAAUUUCUCAUUUUUCGUCCAACAAAGUUCAGUUCUUCUUAGUUGGGUUCGGGUGGUUUGACCACAAAAUGCUAUGUUUACACACAAGACUACCCCUUUUCAUGAAAGCUUCACGGGGACUAGGGCUUUGGUCCAUCUCAGCUCUGCCCAGAAGGGCAAUUACAGGCAUUUUAUGACCAGCCUCCAACAGUUUGAAAUCAGGCCCCGAUGGGGAAAUGAAGAUAUAAAAAAAACAAUGAAGUAAACUUCUCCACACUAAAAAUAUGUGAAAGUAUUAGAAUAUAUGGUAUUAUCCAAUUCACUCACAAAAGAAUAAACUAGAUAAAUUUUUUGCAGUUCAGUGCUUUUUAUCAGCAAGUAAUCAUGUUUAGAAUUAAAUUAAAUUCCAAACAUUUCAACCCAUAAUUCAAGUUUCAAUCUUUUUUUCCCCCUGUUUUUGUCAAGUAAUGUUUUUAUUUUUAAUUUACAAACCAUGAUCGACAAGAUGUGUUUGUUGAACAUAAAUUCAGAGGAAAAAGAGUAGUCACUAAUUCUCCAAAAAAGGCACAUGGAAUAGAGAAGCUAACAAUUAAUAUAUCUAAUCCAUGUUAAUUUGCAUUAUCAACAGUAUUUAUCAUUCACUCAAACUUACCUGAAGUUCAUCUUGGCCCCAUGCAUACUUCUCAUAUGAACUCCAUGCAUGAAUCAUAGCAUCUUUUACUUUCUGUUUUCGCUGGAUAUCAAUAGGAUCCUCCGCAAAUGCCUUGUUUCCAGGGGGCUGUUUAGCUUGUUUUAUGUGAUCAAUUUUUCCAAUUACAUUGGCAGGGUUAUUCUUUAUCUCUUCCAGCUGAAAGAAUAAAUUUUGCAUCAAAACGACAGUUAAGAAUCCCUUAGAAAACUGCCCAUAAAGGUUGAAUUCAGGGUGCUGCUCGUGGCUUAAGAAUUCACUUGUAGCAUUAUUAGUCACAUAAAUAGCAUCGAAGACAGAUAAAGGGAAAUAUAAUAGGCCUUUUGCAUGUAUAUUUCAUUAUAUCAAUCAGAAAUUAUAGGGCCUUUGGCAGAAGUAUUCUUUCUUUUUUGCAUAAUAUGCCUGGGAAAAAGAAAUAAGCAUGCCACAACUGGGAGAAAAAUAGGUUGGUUUCAGCUUAAUUGAUCAAAACACCCAGAGAUCUGUUGAUCAUGAACAAUAGUACAACAAUAGCCAAGAUAUACCCAACCCCUCCUCUCCUCACCCCCAAUCUCCCACCACCCAUCCUCCUUCGUCCCUCUUUUAUCCAACUCCGGAAGAAGCAGAAAAAGGGAAAAAGAAAAGAGUAGAAGAGAAAGAUAAGAGAAUGCUAAGGUUGACAACUCCUACCAGAUUUCGCAAUUGAGUAGCUUCUUCAUUUAACUUGGAAAGUUCAACCUGCAAUACAAAAGAAUUUAGUUAUGCAAACACAUUUCAGUAAAUUAAAAAAAAAAAAAAAACAACUUUGACAGAGAAAAAAAGUUUACGAUAAAUUCAUUUCUGAAUAUAUAUUGUAUAUAUCCACCAAAGAACUUAUGCUCACACAUAUUAUAUAAGAACUUGCUUGAUGAACAUGGCCACAAUAGGGCAUUGUGUCAUUUUGUAGUGUGCUAAGUAAAUACAUUUUAAUCAAGAUGUUACAAAUAAAAUAUAGGACAGGGAGGAAAAGAAUACAAAAGUAAACUUCUCAUUCUAUUUCUCACUCCUUCUUUUAUAUUCCUCUUCAUCUUGUGACUCUGUAAUCCUCAUCCAAACCAACUAAUCUCUUUGAAAAUAACAUUUAGCUACUUUGUUACUUUAUUUACUUUAUUGGUUCAUGCCUAUAAAAUCGUGCUACAUUUGUGCUGGAGUUUUGACAAAUUACUUGUAAUGGAAUCAAGCAUCCUGUUUGCAACUCAAGGCUGACAUGUUCAAGAAACAACAACUUGGUGCCUAGCUUCUCCUAGCCCUCACUGUUUUUCUUACGUGUAUCCAUAUUAUCAAUUCUAGCUCAGUCUUCUCCUUGUUCUCCUUGGCUGCUUUUCGUGAAUACCCCAUUUGUAAUUCAGAUCAAGCUCUAACAUGAUUUUCACUUUUAGAGUAAAAUAUAUGGAUGUAAUCUACUCAUGUCAACAACAAAUGAAUGACCAGGACAAUAAAUCCAUCACCUGUUCACCCAUUUAUUGUAAAUUCAAUUAUCCGUCUUGAUGUGCGAGAAGGGUGUUAAAUGAUCCACCCAAUAGGUUCCACAACUUCUCAUUGUGCAAGACGUACAAAUUAGUGUAGGUCUUUUCAAGGACUGUUGCCCCCUCUCAACUUCAGCCUUCCUCAAUCUUUUUUAACAACUCAAUGGACCCCUCAAAAUUGUUUAAUCAUCAUUUUUCUUUGUUAAUCUCAAUUGGAAGGGGGUGUUGAGAUAGAGUAUAAAAGCUGGUUUGGCCUUCUGGGGGUGAUAGAUGAUUGGGUAUAUUUUUGUAUAGCACAGAAAAUUUAAGUUUUUGCGUACUCAGUGGACAACCGAUCAACUUUACUGUAAUGAUUCUUUAUCUUUAGUAAGUUUUCCAGUUUCUUACCAAAAGAGUAAUAAUUUAAAUAAAUGUACUUCCUACCUUAGCUGCUGGAAGCCUAUAUUCUUGAGGUGGAUGUUUUGGUCUUCAUUGGCCAUCGAAGUUCAAGUGAGUCAAGUACUUAUCUUGGUAAUUUCUCAUUUCAUUAACUAAAACUUCAUUUGUCUGUAACUGGACGCACUCUCAAUUCGUCAGUCAAUAUUUUUCUCAUUUUACUUAUAUUCUAAUAUAUAGUAAUACGACCUCCCGCAUUGGUAACUACGGCAUUGGUAACUACAAUUCUAGCUACAAUUGGCUUCUACUCUUUCUAUCAUAAAAAAAUUGCACUGGACUCUUAACAGAUAACACAGUUUCCUUCAAUGUAAAGUACUCUUAGAUCCAAGUUCCAGCAUAAAUACCGGAUAUUGUCAGCUCUAACUGUCUAUUCUUGCUCAAUACUCACACAUAAAUGCUCAAAAUGAGAUCCUAGAACCACCAAGUUCAAUGGUUAAUUUAAUCAAACUUCAGAUCGAUUUAAGAGAAUAUCAAACAAUCUACAUUCCUCGCAAUGAUGGAACGGAGACCAUUGAUUCUGAAGAAUCAAUAUAGAUUCCAAACUAAGAUCAUAUCAAAUCAACGGCUCAGAUUCUGUACAAUAUCUAUAAUAAUUAUACAUAACAUUUUGCAUGAACUAAAUAUCCAAUGCCAUUAUCAUCAUGUAAUUAACAAAUAUUAAACAACCAAACAAUAUUCACAAUUUUUAGAUUAAAGAAUUUUUUUAAAAAAAUACCUCGUGUUCUCUAACAAGAGUCUGGCGAUCCCAAACGACCAGAGUAACAGAAACAAACACGAUCAAAAGCAUAGCCAAACGCUUCGGUCUCUUCAGGUAAUACGCCGGAUUACAGUAUCUCAAUUUGCCACUUGAUGAUGAUAAUGAUGAUGAUGAUGAUCUAUUCCUCGCCAUCUGAUUGAUUAAAUUAGAUCUAACAACAAAAGCUGAACUCCUAAAUCAACUAUUUUAUUUUAUUUUAUUUUUAAUUUAAUCCAUUAUAGAUAAAGAUUUGUCAAAACGGAAGCAUUUGGAGCAAACGAGCGAGGCUGAUCCGAGAGAAGAACGGAAACGGGAACCGAAACGUUUCGAGACGAUCUUUUUGCUCGAAAAACGUUUCGAGGAUUUGAUUGUGUUUGUAUGAAAUGUUUGAUGGGAGAGAAAGAUAGGCGAACGAGUGUUUGUGAAGAAAAAGAAACACGGGAGAAUUUUACAAAGUGGUGUUUGAUUGAAGACCAAUUGACAGCUGACAUGUCAGCAACCGAAGACUAAGUCGCAAUAUUCUUCCUUUGUUUCUAUUUCUGUGUCAGUCAAGUCAAUGGUUAAUUUUUUUUAUUUUUUAUUUUUUGGAUUUAAAAAGUUUAUUGUUCAUUUUAAUUUUAAUAAAAUGAUACUUGCACGCGCGUGUUUUAUGUAUCAAGUAGAUUUUUGAAUCAAUCUCAUUGUUAUAUUAUGAAUCUAAGAAAUUUACGCCCCGUUGGGUAUUGUUUUCUGAUUACUGCUUUUAUAAAAUAAAAAUGGAAUGAGAAUGUUAUUUUUAAAUUUAUUUUUAAAAUUUAAAAAUGUGUAUGGCAUAAUUUUCAAAAUUAACCUUGAAAAUGAGAAAUGUAAAACAAGCCCGAUAGGAAUAUUUUAAAGAAUUAUUAUUAGAAUAAUUUCAUAAAAUUAAUAUUAAGUAAUGUAUAAUCAUUUUUAUUAUUUAAUUAGUUUGAUUAUUUUAAUUUUAAAAAUAAAUUAGGUGAUCUUGUUAAUUUUCUUGUUUAAAAAAUGAUAAAUUGUGCAUAUUUGAUUUAAUUAAUAUAUAAAAAUAUAAAUAUUAUAAUGUAUAUAAAAAGAAAAGAUUAUUGUAAGAGAAAUUUAUUUUUUUGGGUAUAAUAAUAGUAGUAAUAGUAAUAAUAAUAAUAAUAAUAUUUUAUCGUUAUUGUUGUUGAUGUUAUUAAUAUUAUUUUGAGAUAGAGCGGAAGAAAAUUAUUUAUUUUGUAAUUUAAUACUGUAUGGAAAACAAGAAAAAAUCAUUUUUUUUAUUUUCUUUGUUAAAAAUGUAAAAUAAACUUUAUAUUUUUAAAAAAUAUUUUCAAAAAAUAGAAAAAUGAGAUUUGGAAACGAUACCGGAUCAACCUGUUUAGAAUUUGAUGAUAUGAUUUGAUGAUCUACGAAACUCAAUUUGGCCAGUCGCCUAUAAUGAUGGCCUCGAUGACAUCGCGCAUGGUGGCUUUGCCUAAUUACAUUCAAUUUAAAUUGGAGUCAUUUUUUAUCAUUAGAGCUAGAACAUAUUUUUUUAUUGUUUUAUUAUUUUCUAUUUUAGAAUUGAUCAAUUUUUGACAAAUUUGAAAAUGCAUUUGGUUGCUUUUUUUAAACAGUAUCUAGUAAAUGAAAAAAAAAAUGAUUUAUUGUCUUUUGUUUGUCUAAAAAUUGGAGACAACAAAAGAGAGAAUGAAAUGUUUUAUAAGUGAAAGUGUUUUUAGAAAAUAUGAAUAACUUUUUUGUAAUAACUAACAAGAAAAAUAAAAAAAAUAUUAGUAACAUCAAUUUUUUAUAAAUCAAAAUUAUAACUAAUAUGAAAUGAAAGAUAGACAAAAUAAACCAAAACUUUAAGAAAUUCUAUGAAAAAUUAGAAUAAGUUGAUACGUAAAAAGUCUUGAUCAAUAACAAACCUUAUAAUAACUUAAUGCUAAUAUUAGUAUCUUAUUAAAAAUAAAAAUAGUAAAUAAAAUAAUGUAAUAUAGGAUACUAUUAAAGAUAUUACAUCUCACAAUUUAUAUAUGGAUCCCCUUAUCUUACAAUUAAUGUAAGAUACACCCCUUAUAUAAACAAUGCGUGAACCCCACAUAUACACUAUUUAUAUGAGGAGAUGUACCUUACAUUAAUUGUAAGAUAAUAUUUAUCUUUAUAUAUAUAUCAUCAAAUGAUCGAUAGUCAAUAGAAGUGAAUUAAUGAUUUGAUGAUACUGAAGUUGUGGGGUACAAUUUUAAUUUGAAAGGUCUUGCAAUCAUAGAAAGUCUUUAGUGGGGCCGUGUAAAUUGAGAACUUGUGGAGAACUUCUAAGGACCUAUUCGGUAUUAUUUCUAAAUUUAAUUUUCUAAAACUAAAAAUAAUAUUUUACAGUUACAAUAUUUAAAAUUUAAAUAUGCAUUUGGUAUUAUUUUUUAUAUCUUGUAUUUUUAAAAUUGAAAACAGUAAUAUUCGUUCGGUAGCAGCAACUGAAAAUGAUAAAAAUAGUAAAUAUGUAUUUAGUAGUACCAUUUUCAAAAAUAGUUUUACUUAACAUUUAAGUCAUACUUAUACUUAGAAAAUAAUUGUUUAACUAAUAUAUACCCUAUGAUACCAUAAAUAAUUUUAAAAAAUAAUUAUAGAAAAUUACAUGAUGAUAAAAUUUUAGUAUUAGCAUUAGUAAAAGAAAAAAUUUACAUUGUCAUUAUUUUUACAUUAUAAUUAAAUAAGCUACUCAUGAAAAGCAACCCCCUACAUAUUUUUAAAAGCUGCUGAUAAAAUGGAGAAAAUUAUGAAAUAACCUGCUUUUACAAAAUUUACCAAACACUAUUUUUAUAAAAAAAUUAUAAAAUAAGCAGCUUAUUAAAUUUUAACCGCACUCUCAAACUGGCCCAUAUUUUACAACACAUGCCAUUUAUUUAAACAAAAUAAUUAUAAAAAUUACAUAAUAGACAUCAUGCAUAUCUCCUUUUUACACUAUGAUUAAAAGUAAUCAAAUAUAUUCUACUACAAAUUUACCAAUUCAAACAAAGACCAAGCUAUUGUCAAAUGUUUUUAACUCAUUUUUUCAUAGCACAACCAAAAAAACUAAGAACAAUGAAAUCAUGCACACAAAAUAAAUAAUAAUUACUCAUUUUUUAACAAACAAAAUUUUACAAUAAUUAGUGUGAAAAAUAAAAUAAAAUAAAAAUUGAACAAUAAAAUUAAUAUAAAUNNNNNNNNNNNNNNNNNNNNNNNNNNNNNNNNNNNNNNNNAAAAAAAAGAAUAUAUAGAGCCAAGAGAGCAGCAAAAGCACCAAGAUAGAGUAGCAACGUAGUGAAAACGAAGCGCAUCAGCAACAUCGGUGAUGCAGUCGAGAAUGCAACACAAAAGCAGCGGAGAUCCUGUGCAGUGAUGGCGGUGGCAGAGAUGCAACGCAUCAAUAGCAACGAUGGAGACGCGAGGAGUAGCGGCAGAGAUGCAAGUAACAAUUAGAUUGAGAUAAAGAGGAGAGUGAGAGAGCUGUGAAAUCGAUGAAGAGAUAAGGAGAGAGAGUUGUGCUCGAUAAAAAUUUUUUUAGGAGACUAUUACUCGUGAUAUUUACAAUCAUAAAUUUAUUGAGACCAGUUUACAUCAAAUCUUGUAUGACACUGCUUAGAUUUUAACCCUUUCAAAUAUUCGAAGGACGUCAACUCCACUCCUACGAGAAAUACUGUCUUCACUUAAGUUUUGAGGAAGGAAAUUUAAAUUAAACAUUUACAAUGCAUCUGUGGGGGCUCUAGCCACUGGGCCAAGCCCUAGUGGUUGUGCAAGAUAAGAUUUUAGGGGGGAGAGAGAGAGCUUUUGGAUUUUACUUAAUAAUUCAUUUCAGAAUUUAGUUUGUAAUAUAUAGAGAACAUGUUAAAUAUGUUUUCAAUUUUAUAACUGUUAAUAUAAAUCUAGAUUAUUUGUUUUAUAGUUUAUUUUUUGAGUCCAGUCCACCGAACAUGUAUUGCAUCUAUAUUCUCAAAAUAAAAAUGAAAUCAAGGGCCCAAAAAUGCUACCAACACAGGCCCUUAAUUUCUUAGCUGAGAAUUAUCUCAUUUCCAUUAAAAAUGAGAAUUUCUCCAAUUUUGAGGGCAACCAACUGUGUUUUUCACUUUCACAUUUUUGAAAAACAAAAAAUGGUGAAUUGCUACCAAAGGCAGCCUUUCGAAAUGGUAAAUUUGUUAACAUAUAUGUUUCCAUAACGUUGAUUUUGAUGAUAACAAACAAGAUUAAGAAUUGUUAAUCUUUUAAGCUCAAAUUAUUGAAAAAUAUAUUUUAAAUAAAUCAUUAUUUUUACAUUAUAAAUGUUUCAUAUUUAAUGGAAAAUUGAUUUUAUGAAAUUGAUUGUUUUUAUUCUUUUUAAAUAAAUCAUUAUUUUCACAUUAUAAAUGUUUCAUAUUUAAUGGAAAAAUGAUUUUAUGAAAUUAGUUGUUUUUCAAGUUUAUGGUUUAAUUGAAAGAAUUUUGAAAACUUUGAAAUCAACAAAUAUUGCUUGAAAUUUUGGUGAAGGACUUAUUUGAAAAAGUGUCAUAGCAUUUUGGGCUAUAUCAUAAUUUCAGAAAGUUUUGGAAAUAGUAAGUAUUAUUUAGAAAUUCUGAAAUUGGAUUUAUCUGCUAAGUAUAUAACGUUUUGGGCCAUAGUACAGUUAUAUAAAAUUUUCGGGUCAAACUAUUAUUUUAUAAAAUAGUUCACUGUAGCAGUCACUGUAGCAGUUACUGUAGAAAACGGCGAUCCGACAUCUUGAUAACGGCUCGCCGACAUCUAACAGAAUUGAAGAUUAGCCUCUGAACCCAAACAGAGAUCCGACAUUUUUGAUAAACGGCCCGCCGAUAUUGAACAGAACUAAAGAUUAGCCUCUGGACCUAAAUGGCGAUCCGACAAUUUGAAAAUCCAGCCCAACGGUCAUAUUGACCGGUCAAACGGUGAUCCGACAUCUAGUUAACGACGAUCCGACAGUGUGCAGAAAGUUAAUAACGGCUAGUUUUCAGCUCCAACUAUAAAUAAGCUCAAUCCAAUUCAAACUAAGAGAUUCAAGAGUUAUCAUUGAGCUUGCUAUUGAGCAUAAAACUAUUAUUGAGCUUUAAACUUGUUUUUGUUUCUUUGAUUCACACAUUGAGCAUUCAUUUGUAAUCAAACACAUUGUGUGAGAGAAAAUUCAUUUGUAAUCUUUAUCCUUGAGAGGUUGUAAGUGUUGGGAUACACUUGGGUUAAGAGAUUGGGGAUAAUCUCUUGUUGUAAAGGUCCAUUGACACAUUGGAAGUCAAUUGUAAGCGUUUGAAGCCUUGGGAGGCUAGCUUAAUGAAAUCUUCAAGCCCGAUGAGUUUGGAGGUGUGGACGUAGGCGGAGAUUGCCGAACCACGUAAAAAUCCUUGAGUUUGCUUUCUCUUCCCUUGCUCAUUUAUUAUUGUGCUUUCAUUGAAUUUAUUGUUUUCGAAUUUAUUAAGGCAUUAGAUUGGUUUGUUGUGUGGUUUGCUUAGCUUAAUUUUUGAAAACCCAAUUCACCCCCCCCUCUUGGGUUACCUAGUUAGUAUUUCAAAAUUUAGACACAAUUAAUUUUAUCCUUUUGAUUAUAAUUGACAAAAGAACUUAAAAUUUCUCAAAUUUUAUGGCGGUAAUUGUGAUGCAUGAUUAUUUAGAAGAUUUUUUUUGCCUUUUUUUUUGGGGUACAAAAAGUGUGGGAGACUUUUGUAGGUCUUUGGUAUUUAGUCUUGGUGAUAGUGAUGUUUUUUAGUAAACGUUAGUUUUAGUGGUCCGCCGGCCGUGUCCCUUAAUUCAUCUUUUAUGUUUAAAUUUCAUCUAAGACCUUACACUUUCUUUAUUUAUAAAUUUUAUAAAUACUAGGAUACUUUACGCUUACAUUCAUAAUACGUUAGUGAGUUUAGGGUUAGGUUUGAUAUCAAAUACAUAUAUUGUAUUGUAUUAAUAUAAUUAAAAAAUUUAAUAACAUACUAUGUUUGGUGUAAUAUGAUUAUGAAUUGUAAAUUAUAUUUUGUUGUUAUUUGUUUAUUUAGCAUUAUGAACAAUAAAUUACUUGUUUAUUUAUAAGAACAUAUUUCACAUUAUAAAAUUUAUUUUAUAUUUUUAAAUACAUAGUAAAUUUGCAAAAUAAAACGAGUGUAAGAUGCUAUACGAAAUUAAUGAAUAUGAUAGAAUGAUUUAAUGAAUUAAACACAAAUUAUGUGGUUUGUUGCCGUAGGUGCAGCAAAGUCAUGGGUCAAUUGUAGGGAUGACAAUUGUGCCCGCAAACCUGUCCAAACCCGCCCGCUGCGGAUAAUUUUGCGGGUUACGGGUGGAUUUGGUAUUACAGGUGAGUUUGGUAUUACAAAUUGAAACCCGUACUUAGCUGCGGGUGAGUUUGGUAUUAGCCCAAUAUCUAGUGGAUAUCCGCUAAACCCGCAAUAUUUUUUAAAAAUAUUUUUAAUUUAAUUUUAUUUGAAAAAAAAUUUAAUCUAAAAAAUAUAUAAGGAAAAUAAUGCAAUUAUGCAAAGUGCCAAAUAAUCAAAGUGUUUUUGUACAAACUAUUUUUCUUUAACUUGAUGCAUGAAUUAUUUCAUUAUUAUAAUUUUUUCCUUUGGAUUAAUAUUUGAAAAGUAUUAUUCUUUGAAAAAUAUUAAUUUUAAUCAUUAUUGUAGGCAUCAUGUUGGAUGGGUGCUAAUAAUGGUGAAUGAAAUGAAGAUCUUCUCUUGGAGCUUGUGUUGAACGAUAAUAUGAAAUGUAAUUGUUAUUUUUAGAUACUAGUUUGUGAUUUUUUUAAUGGAUAUGUGUAUUUUAUACUUAAAUUUGAGAAUUUGUGUUGGAUUGAUGUUGAAAUUUUAAUUUUUCAUUUACAUUGGUUAAAUUUAAAAUUGAGUAUGUUAUGUGGAAUUUGAGACUAUUAUUAUACAUUUAUAUAUUGAACAUUUGUGAUUUUAAAUAUAGAAACUCGUAAAAAUUCCAUCAAAUACUAUUGCAAGUUUGGUAGUUGUCAAAACCUACAGCGGGCGGGUUUUCUUAAAAAAAUUAAAACCCGUUGCUGACAGUGUCCAUUACCAUCCCUACUCAAUUGUAAUAAUCUAAGUUUUUUUUUUUCCUUUUCCUUUACCGCAAUAGAACAAAUUCGGUUGGAUAUCUAAAAUUUGAAUGAUUUUUGCUUGAAACACAAGUCCGAAUCUCAUUAUUUACAAUAAUAAUUAAUAAAAACUAACCGCUGGAAUUU
rnacentral:lncRNA from 1 species